UGUGGAUCACAGUUUCCUGUCUCUGGGGCAGAUCUGCUGACAUCAUAGUUCUUGCCCCCUCCCCACUCUGUUCCUGCUCUGAGCUGCUCACAUUGGCUCCAACUCUCUGCGCAGUAAAGGGGGUCCCAGGACCCAUCACUGCCCCUCCCCCCCGCUGGGAACUUUACAGACCUUGGGAUACUUUGUUUGCAGUUACUGUAGCUGUAGUGGAAUUCACAGAUUUCCUGUCCCAGGACUGAGCUGUCACCUACUGCUGCACCCCUGAUCUGUCUGCAGGAUUACUGGGGUACCCUGAUCUGUCUGCAGGAUUACUGGGGUACCCUGAUCUGUCUGCAGGAUUACUGGGGUACCCUGAUCUGUCUGCAGGAUUACUGGGGUACCCUGAUCUGAGUGCAGGAUUACUGGGGUACCCUGAUCUGAGUGCAGGAUUACUGGGGUACCCUGAUCUGUCUGCAGGAUUACUGGGGUACCCUGAUCUGAGUGCAGGAUUACUGGGGUACCCUGAUCUGAGUGCAGGAUUACUGGGGUACCUUGAUCUGCCUGCAUGGUCACCCCACUCUGUGCAGUAUUUCUGAGGACCCCUGAUCUGUGCAGGAAUAAUUGGAUCGUUGUGAAUGUGUACCCCAUUUUGUGCAGGAUUAGUGGGGGAUCCUUAUGUAACUGCAUGAGCAACCCACUGUGGUCAGGAAUUCGAGGGACCCUGAUUUGUCUGCAUGAGGACCCCACUGUGUGCAGGAUUACUGGGACACUCCGAUUUGUCUGCAUGAGGACCCCACUGUGUGCAGGAUUACUGGGACACCCCGAUUUGUCUGCAUGAGGACCCCACUGUGUGCAGGAUUACUGGGACACCCCGAUUUGUCUGCAUGAGGACCCCACUCUGUGCAGGAUUACUGGGACACUCUGAUUUGUCUGCAUGAGGACCCCACUGUGUGCAGGAUUACUGAGGGACCUCCAUCUCUCUGCAUGGUCACACAACUGUGUGCAGUUUACUGGGACACCCUGAUCUCUGGUGAUCACCCCAACUUUGUGAAGGAUUGCUGGGGCCCCUGAUAUUCCCUCUGUGUAUUGGAUUAUUGGGGUACACUGUGUGCAGGAUUACUGGGGUACACAGAUCCCUGACUGUGUGAAGAUGAUUACUGGGGGAUCCUGAUCCCUCCACUUGGUGCUGCAUUAUUGGGGCCCAGAUCCCACACUUUGUGGAGGAUUAUUGGGGGCCCUGAUCUCCAAGCAGGAAGUCAGGGUGAGUAGCUUGCCUUCUUCCCGAUUUCCAGUUAACAGCCCCCCUUCCGACCCCUUUUAUUAGAGUGAUCAUUACACUUUGUGUCUCAUGGGUAAUGCAGUAAAAGAGUCCAAUCAUUAGACUGAUAAUUGCAGAAUCAGGCUACAGGUCGGCAAAGCUUCAUGGGAGUUGUAGUCCUGUAACAGCUGAUCUCCCCUUAUAACACUGCCAGCCUCCCUGUUAUUUACAGAAAACACCCCUUCAGUGCAACAGGGUAGAUACACCAGCUGGGCAUCAGGUUCAUAUACUCUACUAUGGUAGGAAUUCUAUCAGCCUACCAGGCUGGCACGGAAGGGGUUAACAGCUAUAUAUGAGAGGCCUGUCCUGUUCUGAAUAGAGAGGGAUUACAGCUGGCAAAGGACACUAUUUACUAAGAUUGUAUCCCAAUUCUCUCAUCACAUCCAUUACUAUCAUUGGUUAACCCCUCCAGUAAAUGGUGAGCCUGGACUGACAUCAUCUCUUCCUGCAGACAGACUAAGGCAUGGAAAGUGCUACCCUGCAGUCUGUAGAAUUCAUAUUCUGCUGGAUCUCUUCUACAGCAUAUGAAUACUUAAAGGGGAGAACUUUUCAUGUACUGCUUUUAAAGCUGGCAGUGAUUUGUGUCCAGGAAAACAUGGCAAUUUGGUAAAGUAUUUACAACCCUGGUCGGUUAAUGUAACAUGUAUCUUCCAGGGUUGUUUACUAAUGGAGUAUUUCUGUUUUAAGGCGAAAGUUUUCAAAUUGAAAGCUGACAGAGAAUGUUCCACUUCUGCUAUUUAGAAAUGGAAAAUGUAGGCAAAACAGCUGAUCUGAAAUCAGUUACAAUCAUAAAACGGCUAUUUUAACCUCAAAUCUGCAAUUCUGUUUUCAAUUUUCCACAGUUUGGCGUUUAGCGACUUGGAAAUGGAAAUUGAGAAUUCAUGCUAAAAUUGAUAAAGUAGAAAAUGUUCCAGAAUUAACUAUGUUGGUAAUUUUAUAAAUUCUGAUUUAAAGAAGAACUGUAACCUCACGGGAUUUUCAAUAUUCUGUUUUCCUAUCUCUUAUAUUUGAAAAUAUGUUAAUUUUGACAUUUGGUUAAUUAAAUUAAAUGUGGAAAUGUACUAAAAUAUCCCUGAGCUGGGCACCUUAAUCUUUACUAUGGUCAAUCAUCAUAAAUGUUACACUUUAAUUCCAUUGCAUUUAGUUGCUGUUAGAGGAGAAACCAAGCUAUCCUAUUUCUCUUUGUCAUUUGCAUUGUAUGCCAUGGCUGUGCCAGGUACUGACAUGGAUUGUGAUGUCACUUGCUAAAUUUUUAAUAUACAUUUUUAGAAAAAAACGAAAGCAUCACUUAAAAAAAAAAAAAGUAUUAACAAGUUAUAGAUGAUUGUGGGUACAUUUUUCAUCGGUGUGACUGUCAAAGAGACACUGAGCAUCAUAAAUGUUACAGUCCAUCGUAGUGGUUCUAGUAGGCUACACGCUGGGUUGCUAAUGCAGAAAUUAGAGUUUGGUUUUGAAAAUGUAAGUUUCGGGCAAGUUUGGAGAGCAUUGAUUGGCUGAGAGCAACCCAGCUGACACAUUUAGCCAAUGAAUACUGCUAAAAUUAAGUUGAAAUUACUCUUACAUAUUAGACAAAAUAAAUUCAGCAGUAGCAAUAUGGCGAGCGAGGGAGGCUGUAGGUGCUUAGGGUACUCUUGGUGUCAGACAGUUUGUAAAUGGUUUGACACGGGAUUAUGGGACGGUGCAAGGGGCUUACUUCCACCAUAACCAAUCUAUUGUGGGCUGUUAGAGAGUCCCUUUAAAUUUAUAACAAAUCACUGUCUAGUGAAGGAACCUCCAUUUUUUUUUUAGUAUUAUAAUUUAAUAUGUUUUGUUGCUUUGGUUUAUUAAAAUGUUUUCCCAAGAAAUAAGAUAUAUAGUUAUUCCCCAGAAUUACCACCAUCCCCCCAAAACGUUUGUUUUUGGAAGAAAAACUCCAUAAAGUAAAGGAAAUCCUGACUAAUGUCUGCCACAGUUGUGCUUAUAUUUGGGUUGAUUCGCAGUGUUUUGUGAAAUACUUAUGAUACAGCGUGUUCCAGGCCUCAGUGGAGUUGGUGUUCUACAGAUAAUAUCUUACUAUUAACCCUUAAAGAGCCAGAGAAGAAGAGUGUUUUCUGCAUAAAUAAUUUGAGGCAAUAAGUGGUCAUUAUUUUGGGUGAACAUAUUACAGGGCUAUUCAUUAAAGCAGAGUAAAUCCAAAACCUUGUGUUAUUAGUCUGGAUCCCACAUUACUAAAAUUAGAUAUGAGUGGGGACCUAACUUGUACCAAAUAAUAGUAUGCAUCAUUUAAAGCAGAUCUGUCACUUUUUAUAUAUUCUUUAUAAAAUGCUGAUUAAGGCUGUAUUGGAAUUUUACUGAAAUCCCAACAAAAUCCAAAGUUAUCCUAAGACAAAGUAGGGACUACUGUGUCUUAUGGUAAAGUCUGUCAACUUUUGUCCAAUCCCAGUAGCCGUCGGAUGGCUGUGUGCUUCAAGCCUUUUCUGUGGAUUAUCUUGCAGGAUCCUCCAUAGACCUCCGUGUUUUAAUCUUGCGCAUGCAUGAGGGUAAUGUGAAGAGCCAGGACCCGAAGGGAUCUGCAGCCUAAACAUGGCAGCGAUCGCGAGGGACGGCAAAAGGAAAGGACAAUAAAAUAGCUAUUUCAGCAUAAUUGGAGAAACUACACGUACACCUUGUAAAGUAUUGUAUCUUAUAACAGCAUUGGUUUAAAAAUCCAUACUUCUGCUAUCUAUCCACCCAAAACUGAGUUUGUCCUCCAUCUUAUACUAAGUUCUAUUUUGUAUUCCGCACAGAUUUACUGGAGGCUAUGUCCAACAAAGGAUUAUUUUAUGGAAAAUACCCUAUAUCAUUUGUUAAAGGGACACUAUAGGGCCAAGAACACAAACAGGUAUUCCUGAAAAAAAACAAUCUCUAGCCCCCCUGGCCCCUCCCUUGUCCCCCUAAAUAUAGAAAAAUCUUUCCUUUAUUCCAGUCUGCUGGUGCUGGCUCUGCCCCGAUCUGUCUGCUUGGAUGAUUUCAGCCAGUCACAAAGCUUUCCCAUAGGAAAGCAUUGGAUUGGCUGAGAUUGUCAAUUCUGAUGAUCUCAGCCAAGGAGGCAUUGAAUCAAUGCAUCUCUAUGAGGAAAGUUCAGUGCCUCCAUGCUGAGGGUGAAGACACCGAAUGGCAGUGCUGCAGUGUCCUGCACUGCCCCAGGAAGUUCCUCUAGUAGCCAUCUGAGGAGUGGCCAGUGAAGUUAUCACUAGGCUGUAAUGUAAACACUGCCUUUUCUCAGAAAAGACAGUGUUUACAGCAAAAAGUCUGCAGGGACUAAUUAUACUCACCAGAACAAAUACAAUAAGCUGUUCUGUUGACCAGGGCCGCCAUCAGCGGGUGACAACCAUGAUGGUUGUAACGGGCCCGGCGGUCCUGGGGGGCCCGGUCUGCUCUGGCAGUCUCGGGCCCCACAUUCCCUCUCUGCACACAUAGCGAAUAUCGCUAUCUAUGUUUGCAGCCGCGGGCCCCCGGCUCCCUGUUACCGCAGAGGGGGCCCAGCACACUGCCUCUACUCUUCUCCUCUCUUCUAAUAACUCUUGCGAGACCCGUGGCCUUCUGAGUGUUGCCACGGGUUACUCGCGAGAGUUAUUAGAAGAGAAGAGUAGAGGCAGUGUGCUGGGCCCCCUCUGCGGUAACAGGGAGCCGGGGCCCCCCCAUGCCACCGGACCACCAGGGAUGUAAUCUCCCCCCUCCCUGGACACAGGUAAGAAGCAGGGAGGGGGGGAGAAACAUUUAAUGAAAUUAAUAUAAAAUUAAUGUGAAAAUGCCCCUUCCUCCAGCCCCUCUCCCCUAGAUUGCACAUUAACACACACUGCAUUCACUACACUUACACACAUUCUGCAUUCACUACACUAACACACAUUCUGCAUUCACUACACACUAACACACACUCUGUGUUCACUACACUGACACACACUCUGCAUUCACUACAUUGACACACACUCUGCAUUCACUACACUGACACACACUCUGCAUUCACUACACCGACACACACUCUGCAUCCGCUACACACUAACACACUCUCUGCAUUCACUAUACAUUAACACACACUCUGCAUUCACUAAACUAUGCACACACUCUGCAUUCACUAUACUGACACACACUCUGCAUUCACUACACUAACAUACACUCUACAUUAACUGUACACACAGCAUCCACUACACAAACAUCCUGUAUUCACAGUACACACACUACAUCCACCACACAUUGAAACACUCCGCAUUCACUAUACACAGACACUGCGUCUAAUACAGACACUGCGUCCACUAAACACAUUUCAUCUAGUACACACAAACACUACAUCCACUACACAACACACACUACAUCACUGUACACACACUACAUCCACUACUCAAACACACUCUGCGUUCACUAUACACACUGCAUCCGCUACACAAACACACACUCUGCAUUCACUGCACAAACAGUAUCUAAUACACACAAACAUUAGAUACAGCAUGUGUGUGUGUCCAUCAAUGUAAAUGUGCAUGUGUCUGUCAGUGUAUGUCUGUAUCUGUGAGUAUGUUUGACAGUUUAUGUGUGUGCGUGCCUGUCUGUCAGCAUGUGUGUUUGUCUAUCAAUAAUGUAUAUGUGCAUCUGUGUGUCAGUGUAUGUGUGUGCUUGUGCUUAGGUGACCAGCCCCUCCUCCGAUCAUGUGGGAAUGGUGUUUAUACUCCCCCCACCCCCUACAGCUGGCCCCAUCUCUAUGGCUGAAAUAAUCAGAUUGAUGAUCUCUGCCAAUCCAACUGAGAAGCUACUGUGCAUGCGCUGCAUAACGCUGCCAGUCAGCAUACCCUCCUAGAGCAUAUCUAUGGGGAACAUUCAGCGCCUCCAUGCAGAGUGUUGAGGUGUUGAUUGUAGAUGCUGCCUACUGUGCAGCCCUGGAAUAGAAAGCACUUUAGUGGCUGUCUGAGUUACUGCCACUAGAGGUAUCACUAGGCAGCAGUGUAAGCACUGCUUUUUCUCUGAAAAGUAAUUGUUUACAUUGGAAAGCCUGCAGGGACAGGCUAUAGACCCCAGAACCAUUACAUUAAGCUGUAGUGCUCAUGGUGACUAUAGUGUCUCUUUAAGAAUUGUGUUUUUGUUGUAGAAAAUAAAGCUUUGUAAGAUUAAAAAACCUGGCUCCUAACUUUUGUAGCUGGCUCCUAGAUUCAAAGAAAAAUUUUCAAGCCGUGUACUAACAGAUAACAUUUUAUAGUAUAACUUAGUUGACUGUUUACACUAAGUUUGCAAUCUGCCAUAGAUCCCCUCGCUGAUAUGAGAUGUAUGUCAGAAUGUUGAAGGCAUAAAAUUAAAGGGACUCUCAGCCUAUCACUACUCCCUAAUCUAUAUUAUAGACCAGGGCUUGACAAAUUUGCUUGGAAUCUAGGAGCCAGCUAAAAAGUUAGUUUCCAGUUUUUUUUGUUUGAUUUUUUUAACUAAGAAUGUUUCACUUUCAAUGACAAAAAUACAUAUCUUAAAGGGAUACUAUAGUCACCAGAACCACUACAGCUUAAUAUAGUGGUUCUGGUGUCUCCUGUCCCUGUCGGCAGAGCAAUGUAAACACUGCCUUUUUAGAGAAAUUGCAGUGUUUACUUUGCUGCCUUGUAACACUUCUACUGACAGUCACUCAGAUGGCUACUAGAGGUGCUUCCUAGUCCAGGGCUGCACAGUAGGCAGCACUGACGUUCAGCGUCUCCACGCUCUGCAUGGAGGCGCUGAAUGUUCCCCAUAGAUGCAUGGAUUCAAAGCAUAUCUUUAAGGAUAUGCUGAUUGGCGCUGAGUGGCGUUUUGUUACGCAUUAGCAAUAGCCUCCCAAUGUUUUCCUACGAAGAAGCAUUGGCUUGGCUGAGAUCGACACCUUUCCCAUGUGAUCAGAGAGGGGCCAGUAACCUAAAACACUCCCUCACUGACAGACACAUUUCUUCACACACUCACAUAUAUUUGUUUUUUAUUUUUAUUUCUGUGCACCUUUGUUAGAGCUGGAGUGGAUUAUUAUCCUGGGCUUUAGUGUAAUCUUGUUUAAUCUUCAAGCUCUGCUUGCUCUGCUCCCUCACGCACUGUAUAGUAAUGCGGGGGCUGGAAUGACAUCAUAUCUCGGCUUCCGGUAUCACAGCAGGCCGCGCAAGGGAGCAGACUGAGAACUGCAGUGAGAUUUCUGCCCCUAGUCUCCAUGCUCUGCCAGCAGGACGCCUCCACGUUCCCUAUGCCAUGCCAUGUGAGUAUACCUUUAUAGUAAUAAUGACUCCUAUAGGCUAUUUAUUUAUAUAAAAUAUUUCAUGUGGCAGACAGCAGCCCAUAAUUAACCCCUAAAGGACCAAACUUCUGGAAUAAAAGGGAAUCAUGACACGUCACACAUGUCAUGUGUCCUUAAGAGGUUAACCUUUAUGCUGCAAAGUUGUUGUUUUUUAACUGUUUGCCCAAUGGACAAACCGUUCCUCAAAUGAUCAAUUCACUUGAAAAACUGAAAAUAAUGUUAAUUUUGCUAACGUGCACCCUACUGAAUUUUGUUAAAGCUGGCGCUUUGUAAACCUUCGUAUAGGUUCAGAUGUGAAAGCGGCGUUUUUAAUCCAGACACCUAAUGCAUCCAUACAACUGCUUCACACCAGGCCAGACAGAGGGAAUUCCAUCCGUAUCUGGAUUUAGUAAUACUACGAAUUCCCAAUGCAGUAGGAAUGUUGUUAUUUUCACCAAAUUUUAUUCAUCCAGUUAAAAUCUGGUGUUAAUAAUCUCGUAAGUCUGUACGUCUGUCCCCCAGCUGUCAUUCAUAGCUGGAAUUCUAUUUUUUCAGGCAGCCUGUGUUCAUUCUGUCCAAGAUCGGUAUGCGGUAUUUGUACGCUGCCCAUGCAACGUAGGAUAAUCUCUCUCCUCUCCCUGUAAUUAACAUACGGCUCAGUUCACUAAAGUGUGAACCAGUCUGUGUGUACCAGUCUGUGUGUACACGGUUAGCAGACGCACAUAACUUAUAUCAGAUUAUUGAGCAGUUAACCCUGUGUGAUGACUGCCUCUGCUCUUAAGGGUUAAACUCCUUAUACAUAAACCACUUCUGGACAGACCUCACAGGCCAGAAUGAGUGGCCCCUGAUUGGCAAAACAUCAUCCAGGUGAGGUCACCAGAAGGUGAGUAUACAGUUGCAAGAAAAAGUAUGUGAACCCUUUGGAACGAUAUGGAUUUCUGCACAAAUUGGUCAUAAAAUGUGAUCCGAUCAUCAUCUAAGUCACAACAAUAGACAAUCACAGUCUGCUUAAACUAAUAACACACAAAGAAUGAAAUGUUGCCAUGUUUUUAUUGAACACACCAUGUAAACAUUCACAGUGCAGGUGGAAAAAGUAAUUCUUGACCAUUCCUCUUUACAGAACUGUUUCAGUUCAGCAAUAUUCUUGGGAUGUCUGGUGUGAAUCGCUUUCUUGAGGUCAUGCCACAGCAUCUCAAUCGGGUUGAGGUCAGGACUCUGACUGGGCCACUUCAGAAAGCGUAUUUUCUUCUGUUUAAGCCAUUCUGUUGUUGAUUUACUUCUAUGCUUUGGGUCAUUGUCCUGUUGCAACACCCAUCUUCUGUUGAGCUUCAGCUGGUAGACAGAUGGCCUUAAGUUCUCCUGCAAAAUGUCUUGAUAAACUUGGGAAUUAACUUUUCCUUCGAUGAUAGCAAUCCGUCCAGGCCCUGACGCAGCAAAGCAGCCCCAAACCAUGAUGCCCCCACCACCAUACUUCACAGCUGGGAUGAGGUUUUGAUGUUGGUGUGCUGUGCCUUUUUUUCGCCACACAUAGUGUUGUGUGUUUCUUCCAAACAACUCAACUUUGGUUUCAUCUAUCCACAGAAUAUUUUGCCAGUACUGCUGUGGAACAUCCAGGUGCUCUUGUGCAAACUGUAAACGUGCAGCAAUGUUUUGUUUGGACAGCAGUGGCUUCCUCUGUGGUAUCCUCCCAUGAAAUCCAUUCUUGUUUAGUGUUUUACGUAUUGUAGAUUCGCUAACAGGGAUGUUAGCAUUUGCCAGUGACUUUUGUAAGUCUUUAGCUGACACUCUAGGAUUCUUCUUCACCUCAUUGAGCAGACUGCGCUGUGCUCUUGCAGUCAUCUUUACAGGACGGCCACUCCUAGGGAGAGUAACAGCAGUGCUGAACUUUCUCCAUUUAUAGACAAUUUGUCUUACCGUGGACUGAUGAACAGCAAGGCUUUUGGAGAUACUUUUAUAACCCUUUCCAGCUUUAUGCAAGUCAACAAUUCUUAAUCGCAGUUCUUCUAGAGCUCUUUUGUGUGAGGCAUCAUUCACAUCAGGCAAUGCUUCUUGUGAAAAGCAAACACAGAACUGGUGUGUGUUUUUUAUAGGGCAGGGCAGCUGUAGCCAACACCUCCAAUCUCAUCUCAUUGAUUGGACUCCAGUUGGCUGACAUCUCACUCCAAUUAGCUCUUGGAGAUGUCAUUAGUCUAGGGGUUCAUAUACUUUUUCCACUUGCGCUGUGAAUGUUUACAUGGUGUGUUCAAUAAAAACAUGGCCACAUUUAAUUCUUUGUGUGUUAUUAGUUUAAGCAGACUGUGAUUGUCUAUUGUUGUGACUUAGAUGAUGAUCAGAUCACAUUUUAUGACCAAUUUGUGCAGAAAUCCAUAUCAUUCUUAGCUUAGCUAUAGUCUCCAAUUUGCACUUUGUCAUGAAUUUUCCUUUUUACUACAAUUUAGUGUUUAACGAACACAAUUUAAAGGGAUCUAUUUUACUAAACUGUGACUUGCAAUGUAUUGAAACCUGAAUUGCAAAACUGACACCAACAAAAGUUAAUUUAAAAAAAAAAUAUGCAACAACUCUGCUUUAGUUACAAUUUGACUAUUUUAGCUAGAAUUUCGCAAGGUUACUUCAUUCACUUUAUGAAUGGACUUUCACAUAGGCAGCAUAUAAUACACGGGGCUCUGUGGAAAUGAUUGCUUUUAUGUGAUUCUUCAAAGUUGAGUAACAUCAGAUUAGGUCAUUCGAAUAACUCAAUACAAGGGAAAGCAGAACUUGACAUGUUUCAAACCUGGAUCUGACUCUUAAUCAUUGGCUGUAUGUAGGCGUGGAACGCAUCAUGCGUCAUUGUGCCUUGCCUUGCCUUGCCUUGCCACAGAUCGAGGGAGAUAUAUCAAUGUUUCUAAAUGUUUGUCAAAAAGAAAAAUAGGUAUUUGCCUUUUGUUUCCCGCGAGUAUUCUGCGCCGCUCUCCGCGAUAAAAAGUAAUGUACGAGAACUCCAGGGAAAAAACCAAUAGUUUUCUGGUGGAAAAAUUAUGUUGAUGUUAAUAAUGGGAUACCUUAAACAAAAAGUGACCCAAAAUAAAAAAUUAUGGAGAAUUUGCAAAUGUCAUAAAUAGUGCAAAAAGGGGGUCAGAAAUAUCUCAGAAAAGGUACAGAUUAUUCAGCCACACUUUGGUAAAUCACCAGCAUUACUGUAAAAAGUAGAUGACGCUGCAAAGGUUACGGGGGGGACAAGGGUAUGUUCCUGGUCUAGGAGGAGGAGCCUUCCAGUUGUGGACACUUUGUGUUCCAGUGUAGCAGCUUUCUGAUCUAGGUUUUCAUUUUUUACUUUACUUUUUUUUUUCUGUAUAUUUUUUAACACAUUAGCUAUUUAAUGCAUUAGAUAAUUGGGGUCAAUUACUAUUUAUUGUUUCCCUUAUAUAAUAAUAAAAAUAUCACAUAUAAAAUUAUGUAAUGUAUUGGUUAGCUUGCAUUGCAUUAAGGGAUACCACACUCUGCAUUGUGGGAGCUCACAUAAUGCUUCUGCACUGACAUAUCUGUGAUUUAGCUUCAAUCUUCUACAAGGAAUAAAAUCUAAAUCACUGUAUAUACCCUCAUUUUUCAGCAAUUAGGCCACCGGGGCAUCAUGGGAAAUGUAUUUAGGGGACUAAGGCUAGUAAAGUAUAUUUAGGUGACUUGUUGUUCUCUUUAGAAAAGCCAGUUUUUCCAUUCCACGUUCGUAAUGUGUAAUGUGGUGUGUCUGCAUCCCGUGUGCACACGACAAAUACUUUCACAAAAUACAGUCACAGACUGCGUCACAUAGUAACCCUUUUCCUUCAAAAAUGGACAGAAAAUACCAUCUGUUCAUCAUUUUUCUAAAAAAGCGUUAUCGCUAUUGCUACGACUGUGCAAGAUACGCACAUUAACUUAUUUUUCUUUGUGUUCUUGUGUGAAGUACAUUUUGCACUUUUCACGAAAAAGAACACGUAUUUUUGUGAUAUGCGCUAUAAUUGUAGAUUAUGCUAGCUUUAGUAAUAUAAUUUUAAUUUUAUAACAUGACAGGAGGCUUCAUAUUUUGCUUAAGCUCCCCAGCAUAACAUUCACGUAGUAACAGGAUAAACCAAUCAGAAAAAAGGAACACAGAUAAUAAAAGUCCCUCCCCAAAUCAGCUCUUCCUCUUUCUGGCUGCGACACGAACCAAACAGGAACUGAUGAACGAACUGGAAUUAAGUCUCAGAAGAGUCCAAGAUUAACAGGAACGGUCUUGAAUCUGCACACUGGAAGGCCUUUUAAACUGAAACGAAAGAAGAGAGUCGAAAGGAGGGAUUCAUCAGAGAAUUGGACUCCUAAAUGCAUGCAACCUAGAUGAUUAAAAUUCAGAGUUUAACCAGUUAUAGUUACUAACUGAACAAAAAACCAGACAUGCUAUAAGAGAACUGCAACCGUACUCACCCCUCUGUCUUACCUGAUGAAGCAAACAAAAGGGACAGGGAAAAGAAAGGGUGGGAAAUAUUCGCCUCCUGUCAUUAAUAAAAUUAAGAUACACUAAAGCUAGCAAAAUUUACAAUUUUAUAACAUGACAGGAGGCUUCAUAUUUUGCUGUUUUGACACACAGCCGGACUGAAGUAGAAAUUGCGGAAAGUCUCCUCCCGGGACCAAUCCGUGGAUUUGGGGAUAUCAUGUAGAGAAGCACCUGCCAUAAAUGCACCUGAGGCCGCCGCCCCCCUGACCGAAUGUGCCCCAAAGGAAGCUUCGACCCUCGCUAAGGAGAGUAACCAUCUGAUCCAAUGUGCCAGGGUGGUGGUUGAGACUGGGGCAUGGAGGCAAACGUACGAGACCAAUAGUUGACCAGAGGGAGAGGAACGGAGGGAAGCGGUAACAGCUCAGUAAUGAGAGAGGGUAGACGCCACACAUAAUUUCGUGAAAUUGGAAAAAUAUGGAUAGAAAGCCGCGAAGAAAUCGGAUUCCGUACGUUGGGAUCUGGAGAAGGUAACCCCUCCCCUUUCCAAUUUGCACACCUUGGGGGAAUCUGAGUCAUCACAUUCUUCUGCAGAGCGUAGUGGCUCGGGGGAAGUUUUGUCCUUAAGCUCCGAGGGAAGGACCCGUGCUAGGGCCUUUUCAAUAGAAGCAGCCACUGCUGCGUUAAUAAGCGCCUGGAGAUUCUGGUCUUGAGCGGAAUCCAUAAUGUUAGCCAGUUCACCUGAGGGGCAGAAUAAGCCAGUAUUAGAAACAGGGACCAGUGCGCAUAUAUGUAAUAAAUUUAGCCACAUAUAUAUAACUGGGGCUGACCCAGUAGAAAAAUCCUCCGGUUGUAUAUAUACCCUGUAGGGAGGUAAUAGGGCACAGACAAAGCGGGCCAAUCAGAUAGAUGUACCAGGGACAGCGAAACCAUGCAGUGACCAAUAUAAAUAUACCCGAUAGAGUGGUCAUAAAUAAAUAUAGGGGUUUCACCCCUUACAAUAUCACUUGGAUGUAGAAGUGGCUUAGUGUAGAUAUAAUAAUAAUAUGAGGGUUUACCCCAGUAUAGGUAUUGUGGCAGAAGUACCCACUCUGCUAUAGUGAAGGGUCCAAUAAGAGGGGCUCACCCUCUAAACCCUGUAGCGUAAUGCAGGUAAAUAAUAAUAAAUAUGAAUCCUGUGAUACAGAUGGUAAAGUAAGGGUGGCAGCAGUGCGUGAGACUGCUGCAGGAACCUUGAAUACAUAUGAGAAAAACACUCUAUGGAAUUAGGAUGAUAUACUAACAAUCAAAAGCAGACUGAUUCAUAGCAAUGUGUGCAAGCUAGUUUAAUGACACAAUAUACUAAUCACUUAUACUUGAAUUAAAACUUUAAUCCUCCCAGAGCAAACUACAAUCAUUGAGAGAGAUGACCUAGCCUAACGUAAGGCUAGGUGCAUCAGAUAGCAUCCAGCGAUUUGCGGGAGACAGCCGCGAGCCAGGCGCAAACUAGGGUAUCAAUGCGCACUAGAGAGCCUGCACGGAUCGCAGACUCCAACAAAAUGGCCACCGCAAUCUCUCACAGGCGCGCAGGAUCCAAGAUGGCUGCCAGGAUUUAGCGCUAGUGCGCGGGAUCUCAGAUGGCCGCCACAAGGUAGAAAAAGCCCUGGAAAAUCGGGGAGGCAAAAAGCCAGCCGCUAUACCGGACAAAUGAAAGCAACACAAAAGAAACAAUAAGACACAAAACAAAAUAAUGAAAAUUACCCUGAGAGAAAGCAGAGCAAAAACCCAUGUAAAAUAAGAGAGGAAAAAAUAUAAAGCAAAAGUAGAAGUAUUAUAAAAACAGGAUGUACCUCAGAAAACAUAUAUAAUAAGGGAAACCAUAAGAAAUGACAGAAUAAAAAGAAACAUCAGAAAAAACAAGAUAAAAUACAGUAAUCCCCACAGAGUGGGAGACAGUGAGCUGUACUGGUGAGGAGCAGCAAAGAAAGAGGAAGAGCUAAAUGGGGGAGGGACUUUUAUUACCUGUGUUCUUUUUUCUGAUUGGUUUAUCCUGUUACUAUGUGAAAGUUAUGCUGCUGGGGAGCUUAAGUAAAGAAAGUUUUAAGCAAAAUAUGUAUGUAUCUAUCUAUAUUCUUUUUUUAACAGAAAAGCCCGUUACAGUACAUCUAAAACACUAAUUAUAUCCAAUUUAUAUUAAUUUUAAUAUUUAAUUUAAUAAAAUAAUGAUAGUCAGAAACAGAAAAAACAGAAAAUUGAAUAUUUUUUAUUAUUUUUUUUACAAAAAUGCAAAAAAAAAAAAAAAAGAGACUUGCUGCGGCCAUAAUUACGUGUCUGUCUUUUUUUUCCUAUCACAUUGGUCUUUCAAAAGGUAGCAGAUUUAAACUAAAUCUCCCCUGUGCUUUUAAGUAUGUUAUGCAAAUAUUUCAAUAUAAAUUUCCAAACAAAUAAAUUUGAAAUAACCUUUGGCGUUCCUUCAUUUACUUCUUGUGCAGUAAGAUCUCAUCAAACCAGGAAGUGGCUCAGCCAAUCCAAUUGCUCCCUUUAUGGAGUGAUAGUGAAACCUUAUAUAUACGGGUUAGCCGGGACGUGCGCUAUUACUAUCCACUGUAGGUUUGAUUCAUGAAAAAGAAUGAAGUUAUGUGUGCAGGGUUAUAUAAACUGGAUGCUAUAGAGUAAUUUGUGGACUUUAUGAAUUAACUUAGUCGUGGGUUAUACAGCUUUAAGUAAAACAAAAAACCUGCUAGCUGAACUGCAACACUUAAAAACUCCCAAUACACAGUGGUUAUGGUGGACAAUCGGACUGGAUGUUUGGUUCCAAUUUCUUUAUUUUAUCAUAAAAAAAAAAAAGAAAAAGAAAAUAAUUUUUUAAACACCCAGGCAGCAUGUCAGUAGUAUGUGUGUGUGUGUGUGUCUGGAGAUUUGUGCAUGUUCCAUUAGCUUACUAAAAUAUAACAAUAGUUUUUAUUGUUUAAAUGACAUUAUUUGCCCGGCUGUUCCUGACACAGCCAAGGCAUACCAUGCAAAUUAAUUAAAAACCCAUGGUGCUGUGCAUUCAGACUCUUUGGAAAGAAUGUCAUAUGUUUUACACCUACCUAGCUAUACUUGCCCUGCGUACCCCAAAAAGUACUUCAGCAGCAUUUGCUGAGGUGAAGGAAUGAGGGGCUGUCACUAUCAGGGAGUUUCCAGACUGUUUCUUUUUAACCGUGACAUAAAUCCUUUCGGCAUCCUGGCAGCCCUAUCAAUGUUUUACUUACACUCAUUAUUUUAUCAUCACUUUUCCACCAUAACUACAUGAUAAAUUCAUUUUUUUAUUUUUUAUUUCUAUUUAAGAAGUUGUUUAUAUGUACGAUGAACUUUAUUUUUAUACAGUGGAAAUUGUUACCCCUUUUAUAUUAUUGUCAAAGUUAUGUUGUGAUAUUUAUGUAAGACUAUACCUGUCCUGUUUUCUCAUAUUGACAGACAGGCCCAUUUGGCAGGCUUACAUACUGUCUGCAUUUCAAAGUGAAUUUUAGGUUCAGUUGCGGAAGUCAAUCAAGAGGUGAGAUAUUGCAGAUCACCAUAGAAUAUUUUGGCUCUUCAUAAUUAGCAAUACUGUUAAUUAUUAUGUUAAUAAUGUUAAUAAAUGAAAAAUGUUCUGCGUUUGCACAUACUGCCGCUAAUCGUGCCCACUCGGACAGACUGGGUACAUUGGUUGGAUGGCAUUGCAAAUCCAAUCAUAUCUGUAUAUAUAUACAUUACAUGGCAAUUUUACUAAAAUACUAAAAACUGUUCCACAUCACACAUCAUUUCUGUGCUUUACAUUUUGCGUAGAAGAGAGCUAGCUGAGCAAUUUAAAAAUAGAAUAGAAAGAACUCGUCAAUUUCAACAUUAAUUAUUUAAAGUGGUGUCACCUCCCUUCCCGAACAAUUGGCACGUCGUUUGCUUUAAUUUAUACUCCUGCUCGACAAAUCGCAAAGUAUCAACAGUGUUUACUUAAAGGGAUACUCCCAAUUCUUUGUUUAGAACAUUAUAUUGGUAAUGCAUGAAAAAAUGUAUUCAAAAAUAAUAUAUUAAAAAUAAUAUACAAUGUAAUAUACAAACUUCUUACGAUUCUUCAUUUAAUGCAAAUCCCCAAGAUUUAAUAUAGCAUAAUAAUAAAGUCAAUAAAAAUGACAAAGUAAUCUUCAUAUUUUAUCACAUGUAAAACAUUUCUAGUAAAUUAAUAGUAGAUAAAAUGUUUCUACCCGCCGUAUUUAAUGUUCUCUCUGUAUGUAAUACAUUAAGAACAUGUAGAUAAUAUUGUAGAAGUAUUUUUACAAAUAUCUUAACAUCUGCCUAAAUUGUUUGCUAAUACUGAAUGCAAAUUAUAAGUAUUUAUUAUGCUUUAGUGAUUAAUUUUAAUUUCUCUUUUCAAUUGAUGCUCCCAGUUUAACCUCUUAAGGACCAAACUUCUGGAAUAAAAGGGAAUCAUGACAUGUCACACAUGUCAUGUGUCCUUAAAUUAAAGACAUCACUGUAAAGACUUUCAGCUUGUACGCGUAAUUUGUUUUGUACAGAAGUUCAAAGCAAAACAGAAUUUCGUGGCCUCUUGAGCUUAGACUUUCGCUGUCGCUUUAUAUACGCUCGUAAAACAUUUUUGGAACCGUGCCUCUUUAAUCAGAUAUUUAUUUUUGCAUCUAUACACCAAGAUGACUUUUUGAACGUGUUAUUAUUUCCAACACUUGUUGUGGAAGGUUUUAGGUCAUCUAUAAAUCAGGCCUUUCCUGUGGAGGUAAAUAAAAUCUGAUGGCAGACUGUUCAAUAUCCUUGUUUUUUUGGAAACGGGAAACGCUGAGGGUCUAAAUUAACACAUACUUUGCCCAACCAAGCUGUUUUUGUCGACCUGUUUUUAUUUAGGAAACAGUUUUUUAUAGGGAAAAGGGAAACUUGCAGUGACUUGGCACAAACACCGGACACAUUUGCACAAAUUGUUUUCCUUUCAUUUUAUUUACUUCUAUAUUCGUAUAAAGUACCAAAAAUCUAUUCCCUGGCAAUAGCUUAGUCAGCAAGUUCGAAAAAGAAAAACAGACUGCUAACCUAGUGAGAAAUUUCAGUGGCUAGGGCUCCUGUCUGAGUCGCAGGUUCGAUUCCCUGCAAGAUAAGCUCAGGCUUUAACAAAAUGAACAAGGCUUCGAUUUAAUAUUUUUGUUUAAUCUUUUCAAAUUAUUUGAUAUUUUUGGAUAAACUUUUGAAAUGAUUUUGUCAAAAUAUUAAAGUAUAAAAUAUCUGUGUGUGUGUGUGUGUGUGUAUUAACCCCUUAGUGACCAGACCGCUUUUCAAUUUUGUUACCGUUAAGGACCAGGGCUGUUUUUACAUUUCUGCAGUGUUUGUGUUUAACUGUAAUUUUCCUCGUACUCACUUACUGUAUCCACACAUAUUAUAUACCGUUCUUCUCGCCAUUAAAUGGUCUUUUUUAAAGAUACCAUUAUUUUCAUCAUAUCAUAUGUUACUAUAAAUAAUAUUAUAAAAUAUGAUGAAAUAAUUUAAAAAAACACACUUUUUCUAACUUUGAGCCCAAAAAUAUGUUAUGCAUCUACAACCCCCAAAAAACACCCAUUCUAAAUAGUUGGUAGUAGUAGUCAAAAUUUUGUCUUGAGUUUAGAAAUAUGCAAUGUUAACAUGUUCUUAGCUUUUUUUGGAAGUUAUAGGGCUAUACGUACAAGUAGCACUUUGCUAUGCCCAAACCAUUUUUUUUUUCUUCAAAAUUAACGCAAGUUACAUUGUAACACUGAUAUCUGUCAGGAAUUCCUGAAUAACCCUACACAUGUAUAUAUUUUUUUAAAAGAAGACAACCUAAGGUUGGGGUAUUUUGACUCUUUUCGUGCAACCAUUUUACCACCAAUCUAUGCCAAAAAAAAACCUCCAAAAUUGGUGAUUUUUUUGACCCACAUAGCAAUUUAAGAAUACAUAUACUGAGAACUUUAAGGGUUACUGCCAAAUAACUCCCCAAUAUGUGUUCAGCAACAUCUCCCGAGUACAUUGAUACCACCCAUGUAUAGUUGUGUCGGGUUCUCUGGGGACUAAAAUACCUUAUUAAAGGUUAAAGUGAGAGUUCUUGGGUCUUUGGUCCAGGACAGCAAGAACCCAACGCUGGCUGCGGUGUUUACGGUGUCUGGUGGAGUGCUUGGUGAGCACUAGGAAGCAUCGAUUGGCGGAGGCACGCAGUCGGGGUGCCAGUCAGUCCGCCACACCAACUUGUACUGAGAGAGCUGAGCUGCAGACAUCCUGACUGUGACUAGUCCAGAUCACUAAACAAUGAGCUAGGCUAUGUGCAAACUGACCACAGCAGUAUAUUAUAUAACAUAAUAACUAGUAUUUCUCCCAGUUAGACUCAUAUUUACUCAGAAUUCACCCAAUCAGCAGCUGAAUAAUAAUAGACGUUGUUAUUAUUACCAAACUGAUGGUACUCAUUUUAUCAACCUCAGAAGAAUGAAGGGCUGAGUUGACCCUGCUGGGAUCUGAACCUGUGAUCUUGCAUUUUUUAAAUAUUUUUUUUAACAGACUCUGUAGUCAGGGAAUUUACCAACUGAGUUACCUCACUAUUAUUUUACAGAUCAAUUCAUAUCAUCCUGUGUGAUGAAUGUAACGAAUAACUACCCAAGGGGAUGAAUUACUAAAAUAAGAGGCAUUUUCAGAUGAGGAGAUGUCUGUAUGCAGCUAUAGGCUGACACAGUAACCAGCACAUCAAAUGGAACUUUGAAGGUGUGUAUCUUUUUUUAGUCUACAUUUUUUUAUUUAUAAAUUUUAAUGCACUACUUAUAUAAUGCAUUAAAAAUAAGGGUUUUGGCUCGAGAGAAAAUAAGAUUGACUGAUAAUACUAUCUCGACUGUGACCAGUCUGCUAAGGAUUCCCAGCAGAACAUUGCACAGAGCAUAACAUUGAAAGGAUUAAAUAGCAAAUAAACUCCUCUCGAUUUCAGCACCAGGAGUGUCUGCUCAUUGCAACUCCUGCCUGCCUUCUGUGAAGUUAUCAUUUGUGAUGACUUGUGUUCAAUCAGAUGCUUCUCAUAGAGAAGCAUCGGGACACUUGGCACAUGUUCGAUGAAAUGCUUCGGGACACCUGGUACAUGAGUGGCAAUCUCCAUAACCCAUCAAUCCAGUGCAUGUGUAGAGUUUUAGAAUGCAAGGGCAAGCAUGAUAAAUGUUUUAGGAGAAAGUCUCCUCGCUGGCAAUUUGGAUAGAUUCAGCAAUGAUUCAUGGUCUUGACAUUUUCCUUAGGUUCAUCCCAGAUGAUUAAGUAUAAUGUGCUUUCUCUCUUUCAGUUAACUAGCACUUUUCCCUCCUCAGCAGGAUGCCCAUAUUACCGUCUUCUUACAUUUCUGCGUAGAGUUUACAGUGAUGUCAUCGGACUGGUGACUUCAUUGUCCAUCAGCGGAUUCACAUGUUCUAACAGUAACUGACACAGAGAUGGCCUCUUAACCACAGCAAAGGUUUUCCUGGUACAUUGCGAAAGCUCAAGGAUUUACACAAUUUGUUGUUUAUUUUUAAGAGUAAAAUAUUUAGGGGUUUACUAAGUGACAAAUUGUAAUUCUCCUACCUUUUGUGAUACUACUGUCAAAGGAACGAUCAAUAUAUAAUAUUGGAUACACAGCUGAAACUUUCAGCCGAUAACAGUAUCCCUGUUUAACUCCUCGGACUGUAAUGGAAGUAUGUGGGCGGAGAUGACUGGCACUGGACAGAAGACUUUGGGGUUAAACCGUUCAUUAGCAGUCUUACCCUGUGGGUCAGCCAGCAUUAGGGACCUCUUGGAAUCAUAACAACUUCAUUCCGAUAAAGUAGUUAUGCUGCCCGGAGUGUUUCUUUAAAUAAAGUUCCAUUUCAGGUGCUAAUUUACCCACAAUCCAUUAGUUAACAUACGCCCACAGCAGGGCAAAGGGCAGACAACAUGGACAGAGGAGAACAUGUUGUCUUUAAGUAAUUACUUUAAUCUCAACUAUGUAACAUAAGGCAUACGGCCUUUAUUCAUCAAACUGAUCAUUCUAAAAGUGUUGCAGAAGAGUAUGUGCAUUGCGAGAUUGUGAUCCUGUUUAUAUUGUUAAUGCCUCAUCAGCAGCCGUUAACAUGUCAUUAGCUCUCAAACGUUACGUUGGGAAAUUCCCAUUUUGUAGAAAAAAAAAAAGUGCAAGUAAAGCAAAUGAUGAAUUCAUUGGAUUUGCAUAAUGUUAACGAAGCAACAAGAAACAUAAUUAUAAACAACCCAGUUUGCUUACAGUUUUUUAAAGCCCCUGUGUGGUCGUCUAAGUUCUGGUUAAAUCUAAUACCCUGUCCAAGUUGCAUCUUAAUUGCUAUUUUAUUUACUAUGUCUCCUGCAAUCAGAAAGCGGCUGUAUCCCAUCAGUCACACCAGGGAUUAUAGGACAAUAUGUUACUUUACAUGGAGGGCCCAGCCUGUGUCUUUUCAGGAGGCAUGUGUGACACACCUUGAAAAAUAGAAAGUUAUAGAUAACAUUAUGAGUCAUUUUUAAAAUGCUUCCUUUGUAAUCACUGCAGUCCUCUAUAAAAUGAACCUGGUAUUCACAAAACAUCUGCACGAGUUAUUAGGUUCAGCUAUGUAUAAAAUUAGAAUCACAAGGAAAAGGAUAGAUUGAAGAGGCACUCCACUGGCCAAAUACAAAAAUAUAAGUGUUUUUUUUUUUUUUUUAAACUACUAUUUAGUAGAUUUACCUUCAUUGAAAACAGCUAAAAACAGCUUGCAAUAGCUGCAGAUUUCUUGUCUGCAGCAUGUGCAAGCACUCCUCUUUUAACCACGCUCAAAAUCUGCACUUUUUUGUAGAAUGAAAACACACACUCUUCAUACAUGAAGCACUUCAGCAAAGUAUCCCUUUUAAGAUGUAGUAACCUGAUCAUUUCCUCCACCUUCCUUGAGACCGACGCAUUUUGUUGAGUCGACAAAAAUAAAAAAAACGUGAUCAGAAAUUACAAAUCAGUUAGAUCAAGACCCCAGAGAUUAUUCUAAGGCAUUUAUGAACAAAUGUUUGCAUUAACAAAAAAAGAGGUUUGUUUAGUAAGUGCCAGAUAGCAACUAAAUAUCCAAAAUAGAGUUACUUCUAUUCACACAAGGAACAUUUUAGAUAUUUCAUCCAUGUUUUGCACUCUCAUCCAAGUCUAGUUGAGUUAGCAAUUCUAAUUUCUAAAUUUCCCUACAUGCUGGCUAAUUCUCCUAGUAACAAAUAACUGAAUAGCUACGGAAUCUUUCAUUUAGUUUCAUUCCAUGAUUACAGUCCACGGAAUUUUCUGUAAUACAAAACCCUCCUCACCCUAAAUCAUUUUGACUUUACUCUAAACACCUCAAGCAUUUUUAUUUUGUUAUAUGGGGAACAUUUAGCUGCCGAUCGGUUUUAUCAAUGCUACAAUGAGAUCUAUUUGAAAGUUACGGGACCUGUUCAGCUCAAUGUUUUUGGGGCGAUAGUGUAUAAAAUGAAUCUUGGAGGAAUUUAACCCAGUUUAUUAAAGAAAAAAACUGAAAAAAUGAAAGUGACUGAGAACUGAAAUCCGAAUCCAAAAUUUGGCAUUUGUUGGAUAUCCCCCACGGACAUUCAACAAAGAUAUGGAUAAAUGCGAUCGUUCUAAAACAAUAAUUGUUCCUGCCAGUGCUCUGUAUGGAGAUAGGCCAGAAGGAUCAUUUCUUUCUAUCUAUAUACUUGCAGAUGGUGUUACUGCAGACAGAUUUACAUAUUUACAUUCCUUGCUAUAAAAUCCAAGGCCUAAAUUUACUUUAAAAUGUACCUGUAGGCGUGAGGGGUGGGGAAGGAAUAAACGUAACUUUUCAAGAAUUUCCUAGAUUUUUUACCAGAAGCUAAGCUUGCUACUGGACUUCCCAUAGAAUUCCAUGAAUGCACCUGUGCAAUUCCCCAUUCCGCCGUGUGUGCGCAUGCUGAACAUGGGGAGAGGAAAAGCAUUAUUAAUUUAGACAGUGUUUACAGCAAAAAGCCUGCAGGUAAUGAUUCUACUCACCAGGACAAAUACAAUAAGCUGUAGUUGUUCUGGUGACUAUAGUGUCCCUUUAAAAUAGCUAUUUUCUGUAACGUUCCAAGAAACAGGGGCAAUAAAGAGAGAACAGAUUAACAAGUUUAAUUUAUACGGCACCUUUUUGUACUGUGCAUUUUGUAUUUCUGCUUUAAUGGUGUCUUUUAAUGUUUUCUACAAAGACUUUAUUUUUGGGGGGAGUAUACUCCUUACCUAAUGGUGACGGAAUAAAAAGUUGUAUAAAAUGAUAAACAUCUGCUAAGUAAAUCUUAAUACACCAUCAUUUUAAUAAAUAAGAUAUUGGCCUAAAUUAAAGCUAUUUAAAUUUAAAAUUUGCUCAUUUCUUUACCCACAUUCCCUUUGUUGAUUCUUGAAUACAGUUAUGUAAAAAAAAGGUUUAACUUGUGGGCAUGUUUCUGUUGAUUUGCCCGUGUGUGUUAUGUUCGGUUGUUUAUGAAUAGCGUUAGUUGUUUUUUUCAAAGGAAGUAUUUUUUUCGAAGUUUUCUUUAGCAAAGGAAAUAUUUUCUGGUUCGUUUUCUAUUAACAAACCACAGUAUACUUUCCAUGUAUCACUUUUAUCCUUGUUAUUUUUAAACACUAUAUAUAUAUAUAUAUAUUUUGGCCACAAGGAAGUCGUCUGCAAAACAAUGUCACAAUGUCACCGUUAUUAUUCCAGCUCAAUAUAGAUAACGUAGCACGCAUGGUGAAAAAGACAUUUUUGUUUUUUGCAUUUAAAUACAUUAUAAUAUACGGAUGCUUGUCUUAGGGAAACAAAUAUUUUCUUCAUUAUAUAAUUUGUUUGAUAAGCCUUCUUAUCAAAUACCAUUUGAUUUGUGUCUGCUAAAAUCCACAGCUUGAUCUCACUACGUGGUUUAAUUCUGCAUAGACUCACAGAGGUCAAAGUGUUAAAGGGAUUCUUAACUACAGUGUAUCAAUAAAGGGAUAUUUUUGAUAAGGUACUUCUUUUGUGAUUAUAGCAAAUCAAAAGAGUUUUGAAUAUAUUUUCAUAGCAAGGCAGCAGAAAUAAAAAUCUAAACUUUCUUUUGUGGCAAUAAGAUAAUUUUAUAAAGCUUAGUUUAGGGGCAUUUGGCAUGAGUUAUAGCCUGUCCGGCAGCAGAAACUAAAUUUGCCAUGAAGCUAUGCAAACCUGCAUCUUAGUAAAGCCAAGACUAGCCAUCACUUCUCAAGGCUGUAUAAUAAAAAAAACUACAUUUCCCAUGGUGCUCUAUUAGUCUGCAAAUCUGCAACAGAUUUCCCAACUGUGACUGCGCUCUUUGUGUGACUCAUUACAUGUUCAGCAAUAAAACCAGACAAGUCUGGGCACAUUUUAGAGCAGUAAAGACACAUUACUGGGAGUAUUAUUGCUGUGGAGCUCUGUUAUACACUCAGACACAUUACUGGGAGUAUUAUUGCUGUGGAGCUCUGUUAUACACUCAGACACAUUACUGGGAGUAUUAUUGCUGUGGAGCUCUGUUAUACACUCAGACACAUUACUGGGAGUAUUAUUGCUGUGGAGCUCUGUUAUACACUCAGACACAUUACUGGGAUUAUUAUUGCUGUGGAGCUCUGUUAUACACUCAGACACAUUACUGGGAGUAUUAUUGCUGUGGAGCUCUGUUAUACACUCAGACACAUUACUGGGAGUAUUAUUGCUGUGGAGCUCUGUUAUACACUCAGACACAUUACUGGGAGUAUUAUUGCUGUGGAGCUCUGUUAUACACUCAGACACAUUACUGGGAGUAUUAUUGCUGUGAGCUCACACUCAGACACAUUACUGGGAGUAUUAUUGCUGUGGAGCUCUGUUAUACACUCAGACACAUUACUGGGAGUAUUAUUGCUGUGGAGCUCUGUUAUACACUCAGACACAUUACUGGGAGUAUUAUUGCUGUGGACCUCUGUUAUACACUCAGACACAUUGCUGGGAGUAUUAUUGCUGUGGAGCUCUGUUAUACACUCAGACACAUUACUGGGAGUAUGAUUGCUGUGGAGCUCUUUUACACACUCAGACACAUUACUGAGAGUAUUAUUGCUGUGGAGCUCUGUUACACACCCAGACACAUUACUGGGAGUAAUAUUGCUGUGGAGCUCUGUUAUACACUCAGACACAUUACUGGGAGUAUUAUUGAUGUGGAGCUCUGUUAUACACUCAGACACAUUACUGGGAGUAAUAUUGCUGUGGAGCUCUGUUAUACACUCAGACACAUUACUGGGAGUAUUAUUGCUGUGGAGCUCUGUUAUACACUCAGACACAUUACUGGGAGUAUUAUUGCUGUGGAGCUCUGUUAUACACUCAGACACAUUACUGGGAGUAUUAUUGCUGUGGAGCUCUGUUAUACACUCAGACACAUUACUGGGAGUAUUAUUGCUGUGGAGCUCUGUUAUACACUCAGACACAUUACUGGGAGUAUUAUUGCUGUGGAGCUCUGUUAUACACUCAGACACAUUACUGGGAGUAUUAUUGCUGUGGAGCUCUGUUAUACACUCAGACACAUCACUGGGAGUAUUAUUUCUGUGGAGCUCUGUAUACACUCAGACACAUUACUGGGAGUAUUAUUGCUGUGGAGCUCUGUUAUACACUCAGACACAUUACUGGGAGUAUUAUUGCUGUGGAGCUCUGUUAUACACUCAGACACAUUACUGGGAGUAUUAUUGCUGUGGAGCUCUGUUAUACACUCAGACACAUCCCUGGGAGUAUUAUUGCUGUGGAGCUCUGUUAUACACUCAGACUCAUUACUGGGAGUAUUAUUGCUGUGGAGCUCUGUUAUACACUCAGAAAGUUCAAUGUUUACAAUGCAGCACUAAGUCAGCCUCUAGUGGCUUUCUCCCAGACAGCUUGGUAUCCCUGGCACUAGAUUAUAGUAAGACCACACAAUUAGAUGUGUUAAAAAUAAUAAUCUAUUUUGUGCUGUGUUUUAUUGCCCUUCCCCACCCUCCCCCGGCACUCACAGGGUUACUUCCAUGUUGUGUUAUGUGACUUGCGGUAAAUCUAAUAUUCUCUCCUUUCCAUAUUUACCGAAACAUCAUAAAACAUUUCCUUUUCCUUUAAUCAUUAGAUCUUAUCUGCAGAACAUGCAUUUUGUACCUUUGUGUUCCUGCAAGUCAUUGUCAUGUAUAAUACAUAUCACUGAAUAUACAUUCCAUAUAAUAAUUAUGAAAUGUUUCACUUAUUAACCCCUUAAGGACACAACUUCUGGAAUAAAAGGGAAUCAUGACGGAAUAUUUCCGUCAUGUGUCCUUAAGGUGUUAAAUAUAUCUUUAAUGUUUGUAAAGCACCAACAUAUUCUGAAACAGAGUACAAUGACUGUUCCCUUGAACUGCUCUCUGUAAACUGGUUCAUGGAUUGCAGGAUAAAACUUACCAGGAAAGGUUAAAGAAAUUUAACAUGUAUAGCUUGGAGGAAAGACGAGACAGGGGGGAUAUGAUAGAAACAUUUAAAUACAUAAAGGGAAUCAACACAGUAAAGGAGGAGACCAUAUUUAAAAGAAGAAAAACUACCACAGCAAGAGGACAUAGUCUUAAAUUAGAGAGACAAAGGUUUAAAAAUAAUAUCAGGAAGUAUUACUUUACUGAGAGGGUAGUGGAUGCAUGGAAUAGCCUUCCAGCUGAAGUGGUAGAGGUUAACACAGUAAAGGAGUUUAAGCAUGCGUGGGAUAGGCAUAAGGCUAUCCUAACUAUAAGAUAAGGCCAGGGACUAAUGAAAGUAUUUAGAACAUUUGGGCAGACUAGAUGGGCCGAAUGGUUCUUAUCUGCUGUCACAUUCUAGGUUUCUGUAAAUAAGAUCUAUUGGUACGAUUUAUUGAUUGUAGAUCAGUACACUAACACAAUUAUUUAUCUGUACUGCCAUAUCUUACCAGGAAUUAGACAAGAUUUUGUUAUUUGAUUUUGAAAUCUUUCAAAGCACUAUUUAGUAAAUUAAGCCUAUUGUGAGUGUGUGUCCGGUUGUUUGUGGAGUGUAGAGGGGAUUUUCCAUUAGACUGUGAGCUGUGGUGAAUUGAAAGCUAAACUUCAAAAUAGCGAAGGCCUCGAUUUAAAGGUAAACUAUAAUGCCCCCCUUCCUCGCUCCUCUCCCCCGUGCUGCAGAAGAGGUUUAAAACCCCUUCUGUCACUUACCUAAUUCCAGCGCCCAUGUCUCUCGGCACUGGUUUUGGUUCCAUCUUUGCUCCUCUCCCGCCGACUUCAGUCGGCAAGGGGGAACUAAUGCGCAUUCCUGGGACAGCCGCGCUCACAUUAGGACUUCUCACACAAUGCUUUCCUAUGGGGUUUUGGGUGACGCUGUAUGGCCUCGUGCAAAGCGUGGGGACGUCCAGAGUCAGGCAACCAAAAGUCGCCUAACGACCUGGAAGUCCCUCUAGUGGCUGUCUGGUAGUCAACCACUAGAGGUAGAGUUAACCCAUAACAACUGCAGUAAUUACCAUUGCAAGGUUCAGGGGCCCAAGACACUGCACCAAGAACACUUCAAUGAGCUGAAGAGGUCUGGUCCUAUAGUGUCCCUUUAAUAAUUUUGGAACAGCACCAGAAAUGAUCACUCUGUUAGAAAAACUUUUCAAAUUAUUUAUCUAGAGAAGUUUCCAUGAAAAUAUGUGGGAAUUUUGAAAAAUAAAUCAUUUGAAAAAUGUUCUAACAGAUUGUGAUAAUUUCUGAUGCUGAUCCAAACGAACUAUAUUGAGGCCUAAGUUAGGACAUUUGCAAGUUCACCUUCUUUUAGCUGUAAAACAGGAGGGCCUGUGUUGGAGUGCCGCUGGCAGCCUGUGUUGGAGUGCCGCUGGCAGCCUGUGUUGUAGCAUCGCUGGCAGCCUGUGUUGGAGCGUCGCUGGCAGCCUGUGUCAGAACUUUGCUGGCAGGCAAGUGUUAGAUCAUCCAUGACCGGUUGGUGUAAUAACAUUGAUGGUAGGUCUGUUGUGAAACAUUUAUGACAGUCUUGUGUUGGAGUGUUGCUUGCAGGUCUGUCUCGGAGCAUCGCUUGCAAACCUGUGUUAGAGCAUUGUUUGUAAGCCCAUGUUGGAGUGAUGGUGGCAGGCCUGAGUGGUUGGAUCAUUGGUAGGCCUGAGUUGUUGGAUCAUUGGCAGGCCCGUGUUGUUGGAUCAUUGGCAGGCCCGUGUUGUUGGAUCAUUGGCAGGCAUGGGUUCUUGGAUCAUUGGCAGGCAUGGGUUCUUGGAUCAUUGGCAGGCAUGGGUUCUUGGAUCAUUGGCAGGCAUGGGUUCUUGGAUCAUUGGCAGGCAUGGGUUCUUGGAUCAUUGGCAGGCAUGGGUUCUUAGAUCAUUGCAGGCCUGAGUUGUUGUGCCAUUGGCAGGCGGUGUUGUUGUGGAUCAUUGGCAGGCCUGAGUUGUUGUGCCAUUGGCAGGCGUGUUGUUGGAUCAUUGGCAGGCCGGUGUUGUUGAACCAUUGGCGGGCCUGAGUUGGUAAACCAUUGGCAGGCCCGUGUUGUUGGAUCAUUGGCAGGCCCGUGUUGUUGGAUCAUUGGCAGGCCCGUGUUGUUGGAUCAUUGGCAGGCCCGUGUUGUUGAACCAUUGGCAGGCCUGAGUUGGUAAACCAUUGGCAGGCCCGUGUUGUGGGAUCAUUGGCAGGCCCGUGCUGUUGGAUCAUUGGAAGGCCCGUGUUGUUGGAUCAUUGGCAGGCCCGUGCUGUUGGAUUAUUGGCAGGCCUGAAUGGUUGGAUCAUUGGCAGGCCUGAGUGGUUGGAUCAUUGGCAGGCCCGUGUUGUUGGAUCAUUGGCAGGGCUCCACUGAGUAUUUUAUGUGGCUGAGUUUUAACUCUGGAUUAGCAUUAGGAAACCUUUUGCAUCCAGUUGGCCACUGUGGAAAGAAACAAACUGUACGUGUUGUACCCGGACACAUUCCUACCAAAAACUGUACAUUUUGCACUUUCAAAGUGCCUCGUAAAAAUUCAAUAUUAUAUUCAUUUGUGAGGACCUGUUUUUUUGCACUGUGAUGAAAAUAGUCACCUAUAAAUAGUUAUUUUAAUGUUAUUCUCGGUCUGUUUAAUUUUCCCCAUGCUGCCAGGAUACCUCAUCAAGAAUUGUUGAUCCCUUCACUUACAGAAUCAAGUAUAAACUUUUUUUUACUGUCAUUCACAUGCAGAACAAAAUUUUGUCUAUAAAGCCUCACUUAACCUCAUUUAUACUUUAGGAAUAAUUUCCUGGUGACCAAUGUAUUGCCUGCAAGUGUGCUGAACAAGACAGCUACCCACUCCUUUCAAACAGUAUAGGUAGUUUUAAUGAGUGAUAUCAUUCCUACAGACAUGAGUAAAUGAGCAAUACCAUUUUACUGUUGGCAUUAUGUUGGCAUUCCAGAUAUUGGUAAAGAUUGCAAUAACACUUUUUAAAUUACCUUAGAAAUGUAUGAUUUAAUGGUAUUACCUGUAUGUGGGCAUUAUAUUCAAAUGCAGACAUUAUUUUUACAUUCUGUUGCCUCUUUCAGUAAGCUGUACUGCAGAUAAUUCCUUUAACUACCCACAAGCAGUCUGUUUCCAUUUUUAUCAAUUUUGUCACACCUACUGUGUGUGAAAAAAAUUAUAUUAUUGCUUUUGUACUAACAAAUCGAGCGCUGUGUAAAAUAUGGCAAGAUACAGAAUACUGUGUGCCACCCACACCUUUUCAUUACCCAAAGCACUAUUAUAGAGUUAUGAAGGAUUAAAUAAAAAAUAAAAAUGGUGUAUAUUUACAAUGUUAAUUGUUGUUUCUCUCAGAAGCAAUCGGUAUACAAAAUUUCUGUUUUAUUACAAGCGUAUGUGCCAGCUUUUCUUCCCUUGUUUCAAGUAAAUGGUGCGCUAAUAUUAUGUCAAACAAAUAUUGCUUGGUUGUGAAAGAGUUAACCUGAGACUAAGGGGUGUCCGCAUGAGGAGCAGGGCUGACGCGGGCUAUCAGUUAGCAGAAAGUUUGAUUCUUACCCUGGGACGGGGCUAUGGCAGUCCUGGCAUUGUAAGUGCUUGGUGUGUUCAUUUACAGUAAUGCUCUAAAUACCAUAACCACUAAAAAGUAUGCCACGGGUGUGUGAAGUGUUUGGAUGCAGAGUUUUCAUUUUAUUUUGUCCAUUUUCAAGUUAUCAAAUUCAACAAAAAAAAAUAAAAUCACUGAUUAUUGAUUUACCCCAAUUAAAAGAUGCAUGCAUUUAAGUAUGCAUUUUUUCAUUGAGGGUAUAUCUAAAAACAGCUUACAAAAGCUGCAGAUUUCGUGUCUGCAGCCUUUGCAAGCCCUCCUCUUCUAACCCCGUUCAGACAUUCUGUGGCUGUCCAAUCACAGACUUCCCAAUGCAACUCAAUGAGAAGUCUUUGCAAGGCAGGUGCUCUGGACAAGUGCUGCCUCUUGAGUUUAUCUCCACUGAGCUAACCAAACCAGGAAGUAACAGAACCGGUUGUCUGAUUGACAGCCAGGGGGUGUAACAAGGUUCAUUUAUAAAAGUAUCGAUUUCUAUUGAAAUCUGUACUUUUUGAAAAAUGGAAAAAGAAAAUGGAAUCGCACUCUUCACACAUGAAGCACUUGAGCAAUCUAAACUGUCAGGAGUGUCCCUUCAAUUAGGUUUUUCAUAUUUUUAAGAAAUAUGGAUGGCAGUAAUGGGCUGUUAGUGUGGGCUCUGAGCCAUUGAGGCGAGGACAGCCACGUCAAGAUUGGGGUGGUGUGCAAGAAGAGGUGAGUUUAAACACAUUUUCACUGCAAUGACAGCGGGGCCCAAAACCUAAAUAGUGGGUUUAACAUCAUUGUGUCAGGCAUACAUGUUUGUGUUCCUGACACUAUGAUUCUUUAAUGUGACUCUAUACAUUUUUUUUCCUUUGUAAUUCUAAUUUCUUUCAGUAGUUCAUAUUGUUUAUGUUUGCAAAAUCCAACAAUUUGAGACAGCUCAGUAGAUAUAGUUACCUUCAACCUCCAAAGUCAAUAAAAGGAGCUUCAUGAAAUUGGGUAAUAACUUGACCCAACAAUGUAGUAGCUUUAAAUUAAAGGGACACUAUAGUCACUUAAACAACUUUAGCUUAAUGAAGCAGUUUUAGUGUAUAGAUCAUGCCCCUCAGGUUUCACUGCUCAAUUCACUGCCAUUUAGGAGUUAAAUCACCUUGUUUCUGUUUAUGCAGCCCUAGCCACACCUCCCCUGACUCUGAUUGACACAGCUUGCAUGAACAAAAAACUGGUUUCACUUUCAAUCAGAUGUAAUUUACCUUAAACAAUUGUAUCUCUUUCGCUGUAAAUUAAACUUUAAUCACAUACAGGAGGCUCUUGCAGGGUCUAGCAAGCUAUUAACAUAGCGGGGGAUAAGACCAUCUAAAUUACACAGAACUUGCAAUAAAGGAGGGAUAAACUUUAGAUGACUCUUUGCAGGAAGUGUUUAGACUCAUCUCUUUACAGGAAGUGUUUAGGAAGGCUGUGCAAGUCACAUGCAGGGAGGUGUGACUAGGGUUCAUAAACAAAGUGAUUUAACUCCUAAAUGGCAGAGAAUUGAGUGAGACCGAGGGAGAUGGUCUAUACACCAAAACGGCUUCAUUAAGCUAAAGUUGUUUUGGUGACUAUAGUGUCGCUUUAAUAUAUAAUGCUAAAUGUAGCUUUCCUGGUUCAAUGUAUAUAUAUUUUGUUGCAUGCUAUAUUUACAUUGCGGUUAAAGUAAUUUUAAAAAAAAGCUUGUGUAUUUUUUGUAGUUUAAGGGGAAGAGAGAUAUAAUCUGAAGCUCUCUUUACAACGCCACAAUUUUCAGCUUCUCAACUGCUGUCAGAAUAGUUUUAUAAAGAGUCGCAAUAUAUUUCUACACAAGUAUAGACUUUCGUGGCAUCUUGCGCAGAUCUUAUCACGCGUGCUGUCAGUUAAUGCCAUUGGGAGUCUGUUGUGUAUUGCAUUAGAUGUCUGCUCACAUUCAGCGUUACGAGUUAUGGGCAAUAAGAAAUGGCGAAGAAUUGCAAAUGGCUGCUGACUAAAGCUCUGCUAAUUGCCAUAUUUAGCCAUAAUCUGAGGCAUACAUUAUACAGUAUUCAUCAUAUGUAACACAAUACACAAUAUAUUUACAAAAACAUUUAGUAGUAAUUCAGAAAUGAUAGUCCCUCUUCAAUUACUGGACUAAAACAGAUGUAUUUUUUUUCCAACCAUUAUCUCUUGUGCUUAGAACUCCUCCCAUACACAAUAUUGACUGAAUGAACCUGUUAUCUUUUAGUUGAUCAUUACUUUUUUAUAGUUGUUGUUCUGUUAUUAUCCUGUCCUAAAUCUUGUGCUUAGAGCUAUCGAUAAAACUAACUUUUUUUUUUUUUAAGUUUGUGUUUUUUUUAAUAUCUAGUUUUCCACCCUCCUUGUUUUGCGUCUAAUCCAUUAGUGAAGAAUAUGGACAACCCCUCUAUUACAGGGGUCAGCAACCUACGGCACAUCUGCCAAGCAUAGCACUCAAGGAGCCUUUGUACAGCACUCAAGGCUGCUAGACCCAAACAGGCUCUGGCCUAUCAAGAGUCCUGGUGGAAAUUCAGUAAUCACCACCUAAUGCCAAAAGGUGGUGAGGGAUAAUUCUCAAUUUACCAUUCGAGCACUUGUGAACAUGAAUCCGUACUGGAGUAGAGCAGCCCCCACCAACUAUCGCAUAUCCUGCCUUUGACCUGUACCUAGCCAACCUGGUCCCCACUGAAACCCAAGGAAGCCACACACUAGAUAAAUAUACAAAAAAUUCGAGAAUAAGCCUCCCUAUCAUACACCAAUUAUACUGACCACCCACAAACAAACACACACAGUUUGCAAUACCACAAUACCACAUGCAAUACCACAAGCAACCCCACACAUACAAACACCACCAAACACACUGUGACAUAUCAUCCACACACGCAAUUCCACAAGCAGCCCCCAUACACAGCCUACAUUCAUAGGUAUCAUAGAAAAUGCCACAAAUUACUAAUGAACAUAUACAAUAGAAUAGUCUGCAUGCGCACAAAUACAAUGUUACAAAGCCGCCCAUAAAUAAGCAGAAUACGGCAACAUACACAGAUACAAAAUUUGGGUUGGCACAUCAAGAGACUUCGAGAUAUUGUUUUAGCACAGUACUGCUAAAAGGCUGCCUAACCCUGCUCUAAUAUAACAUUUCUCUGUGACUGAUAGUUUUACUUAGUAUGUUACAGCUUUCUCAUUAAUUGUAUUGCAGUGUUCAGAAUCUAAGUAUAAAUAUUGCAAGCCUUGGUCAGUUUGUGUAACGUCCAUUUUGUUUUUAUUCUUUCAGAUCCAACCUGCACUGACAGACAUUACCUGGAAUGCCGACUUGAUAUUAUCUUAAAUAUGGGUAAGCAGUAAAUACAUUUAUUUUGCUACAAAUGUGCCAACUAAGCAAUAAAACAGUGGCUUGACAAAUUUAUUUGGAACCUAGGAGCCAGCUAAAAAGUUAGGAUCCAUUUUUAAAAAAACAGUAAAGUUUAUUUUUCAAAGAAAAAAAAAUGCAAUUCUUAAAGGGACACUUGAGCUUGAUGUAGUUGUUCUGGUGUCUAUAACCUGUCCCUGUAGGCUUUUCAGUGUAAACAUUACCAUUUCAGAGAAAAGGCAGUGAUUAAAUUGCUGCCUAGUAACACCUCUAAUGACAGUCACUCAGACUGCCACUAGAGUCCUGUGACAGCGCUGCACAGUGUGCAGCACCCACGUUCAGUGUCUCCAUGCUCUGGACAUGGAGGCGCUGAAUGUUAAAAAUAUACACAAUAUCCUCCCAAUGCUUUCCUAUGGGAAUGCGAUGGCUUAGCUGAGAUCAUUAAGAUUGAUGAUCCCAGUCAUGGAGACAGGACCAGCCGUGGUGAAAACGGCACGGCAUGGGGAAAAAGUUGAGUAAAAUCACCUUUCUCAUGUGAUUGGGGAGGUGGGGGGGGGGGGCAGGUACCUAAACACACACAAACACUCACAAACACUAUCAAACACACACACAUACACCCACAAACACUGACAGACACACAUAAACUCACAAAUUGACAUGUUUAUUUCAACUUAUGUCCACCCAUCCUCCCUAUCAUUAAGAAAGCUAACCUUUCCCUGGGGAUUAGUGGAGCUACUCUCUAAUCUUCCUGCAGCUCCCCUUGCACGCUCUCUUUGGUGAUGCCGGGGCUGGGUUCCGGCUCCCGGGAUCACUAAACAGCGAGAGCAGGAAGAAAGGAGCUGCAGAAACAUUACUGCUCCCUUGCGUGCUACCUCAGCCGGCCACCUCCUUGCUGCCUCAGCUGGCCGCUCCCCACGGCCCAUUAAAAGGUGAUUUUAUUCCCCCUUUUCCAGCAUUGUGCUGAUCUCAUAACGCCUCACUCUGCCUCCAUGGCUGAAAUCACCAAAUUUGACCAUCUGGAAUCCAUAAGAAAGUAUUGGAAUGCUAUUGUGCAUGCACGGCAAAAUUCUGAGCUGCACCAAUCAGCAUCUCCUCAUAGAGAUGCAGUGAAUCAAAGCAUCUUUGCAGAGCAUGGAGACGCUGAACGACAGUGCUGCAUACUGUGCAGCGCUGAUCCAAGAAGCACCUCUAGUGGCUGUCUGAGUGACUGCCACUAGAGGUGUUACUAGGCAGCAAUGUAAGCACUGCCUCUUCUCUGAAAAUUGAGUGUUUACAAUAAGAAGCCUGCAGGGACAGGCUAUAGACAACAGAACAACUACAUUAAGUUGCAGUCGUUCAUGAGCACAUAUGAUACAUUGUCCUUGUUCUAAAUAACAUUUAGUUGUAUAAAUAGUUAUUAGUAAGUCACAUACAAUUUUACAGCCGCUCCGGCCCACACCCCUCACGCACACCCCUAAAAUGAAAGUGUCCCUCGUUUUUUCCAUUUGAUAUGGUGGGAGGAAUGUUGUUGUGCUCUGCAGAAUUGCUCUGCUGUCCUACUCAGGGAGGCCCUGUAUUACAGCAUUUUAUAGAAUUUGCUGACACUUAUCUUUAUUUGUUUGGUAACCUUGACUGCACAAUGAUUUGGUGUUAAUAGUUAACCAGGUGUGAGCUGUCAGCCAGAGCUGUGUCUUACUCCAGAGGCCUCUGUAUUGGGGAGUUUAAGGACAUGCAGUCAAAUCUCGCAAUGUACUUUGUGAUGAUCACACUGACAUUUCUGGAUACAUGUUUUACAGAAAACAAAUUAGUUUGGUGUGAUUAUGCACCUUAUAGUAGCAAUCACAUCUGGCUAUCGCAAUUAUUUUCAUUGGCUGAGAAAUUAAAUAAUAAAAAUAUCUAGGUAAUGCAUUAAAAAAUAAAUUAGAAAUAAAUGUAAACAAAAAAGAUACCUUAAAAGUUCCAGGAUUUGCAUGAUAUUGUCCACUGCCCAGUGUUUGCAGUGAUUUCUGUCGAGACCAGGAAGUAGCUCAGCCAAUCGUUCUAUUAAGUGGACAGUGGCGUUACCCCAUAAGCCCAUGCAUGUCUCUGUAUACGGUAAUACAAUCGUUGUGUUUGGAAAUGCACAACUAGUUUCUCGAAAGGACAGGGCUCUGAGAGUUAAUUAAUUAUAGGAAUUGGCAAAUUCCCAGAAAAACAUUAAAACCUCAUCCAGAGAAAAACAGUUUCUGGAAAUGGUUAAGGCCUGUUGGACAUCUCUGUUCUAAAGCAAAUUUUAAUAGUUUUUGUUUUUAUUAUUAUUAGAAUUUGAGCAUAGCCAGAAAUAGAGAUUUUACUUUGAAUAUAUGGUGAAAUAAAAUCCGCUUAAUGGUCACCAAAAUAUUGUAUAUUUAGAAAGCCCAUUAUAUUCCACCAUUUUAAUCCCUUAAUAGACUAUACAAUGAUAAAAUAAUAACCGAGUCCCAUUUAAAUCAGACUUUUUUUGUACAUGUACAAGGUUGUCUGUGACCUGUCAGAAUUUCACCAAAGCCUCUCAUAUUUUAAGGCCACAUUUCUAGCCUGCUAUAUUUAUGGUAGAAUUUAUUUGGGGCAAAGGCUCAAGGCGUGAUGGCAGCAAAGCGGCCCAGGAAGGUCUGAUCAUUAUGUGAAAUACUAACUUUUCAUCGAUGUAUAUACUUUAAAGACACAACGUUUGUGCAGUUAUAGCUGUGAGUUUUGUGGGGUAAUUCUCAACCAGCUUUGGACAUCUGGAUCCUGCCAUCUUGGACCAUUUUUCUUUGUAAAUUCUCUUGUAUUACAAAGAAAUCUUUUCAUAAACAGGGCUAUACAUAGGACACGAGGUCACACAUUUAGGCUGGAAGAAAGGAGAUUUAAUCUAAGGCAAAGAAAAGGUUUUUUUUACAGUAAGAGUAAUAAGGAUAUGGAAUUACCUGCCCGAAGAGGUGGUUUUAUCAGAGUCCAUACAGAUGUUUAAAGGACCACUCUAGGCACCCAGACCACUUCAGCUUAAUGAAGUGGUCUGGGUGCCAGGCCCAGCUAGGGUUAACCCUUUUUUAAAUAAACAUAGCAGUUUCAGAGAAACUGCUAUGUUUAUGUUAGGGUUAAUCCAGCCUAAAAUUCCGCUAGUGGCUGUCUCAUUGAAAGCCGCUAGAGGCGCUUGCGUGAUUCUCACUGUGCAAAUCACAGUGAGAACACGCAAGCGUCCAUAGGAAAGCAUUAUGAAUGCUUUCCUAUGAGACCGGCUGAAUGCGCGCGCAGCUCUUGCCGCGCGUGCACAUUCAGUCUAAAGGGAGGAGAGGAGGCGGAGAGGAGGAGGAGAGCUCCCCGCCUGGCGCUGGAAAAAAGGUACGUUUUAACCCCUUCCUCUCCCCAGAGCCGGGCGGGAGGGGGACCCUGAGGGUGGGGGCAUCCUCAGGGCACUAUAGUGCCAGGAAAACGAGUAUGUUUUCCUGGCACUAUAGUGGUCCUUUAAACUGAAAUUGGAUAAAUACAAAAACAUAACAUACAGGGAUAUCAUUUCUAAUUAGUGGGGUAAUAGCUGCUUGAUCCAAGGAGAUAUCUGACUGCCAUUUUGGGGUCAAGAAAUACUUUUUUCCUAGUUUGUUGCAAAAUUGGAAGCGCUUCAGACUGGAUUUUGUGCCUUCUUUUGGAUCAAAAACAAAAACAUAUGUGAGGAAGGCUGAACUUGAUGGACGCAAGUCUCUUUUCAGCUAUGUAACUAUGUAACAAAUGGUUACAAAUAGUGAACAGCAGUUUUCAAGGUUUAUACAUACUCCCGAUGGAUGGCUCUAACUGGGCCAUUCUAAUACAGUCAUAUUUUUGGAUUUAAACCACUCUGGUAUAGCUUUGACUGUGUGGUUAAUUUUAAUAUGGAUUUUAGUUGCAAGUUGUUUUGUAACACUGCACAGUUAGUUCAUUAAUGACGUAUGUUCAAAUUUGUCUAAAAAUUUUAUUACAUAUUAAAGUCAAAUUGAUAUUUCAACCAAUGUCUAAAAAUCAACCCCCUUUUCCACGUGUAAUCAAUAGUUUUUGUAUUUUUUUUUGUGUAUGUAUAUUUUAUUUAUAGUGCAUAGAUAUAUAUAGAAUAUGUUAGAUUUAAAGUGUAUACACGCACAUGCGCACACACUCACACUAUAUAGUACAUAGUUACAUAGUUACAUAGCUGAAAAGAAACUUGCAUCCAUCAAGUUCAGCCUUCCUCACAUAUGUUUUUGCUGUUGAUCCAAAAGAAGGCAAAAAAACCCAGUCUGAAGUAUAUAGCAUAGUAUAUAUUCAGCUGUCAGUAACAGGUAUGCCAAGUUCCGCUCUGCAGGUGGAGUGAUCCGAGCUAACUAUCCUAUGCCUCCCGUCCGUGAUGACGCCUUUGAAAAGGAAUGUUUCUUGCUAUAUAAUGUUAUAUUACUUCCUGGUGGAUGCAAAUUACAAUGACCUCUAUUGCUGUGUGGGUGUCCCAAUACUCCUACUUGAGGAUACAUCCUUUACAAAAUGCAUUAUGUUUGCAUUCCUAGCAUUGCGUAUUUACGAGAUACAAAGCCCUAUAACUUCCACCUACCAAUGUCAUUGUAACCUGCAGUGUCCCUUUAGGCGGGUUUGGCAGCUCCAGCAUGUUACCUGGACAAAUGCAACAAUGGAACCUUGUUUCUCAGCAAUUUUAAAUAAUCAGAGAAGGAUGUUUUUGUUAUAGAGGUAUGCAUGAGGUGUGACAAGAGGGCAGAUCUGCUACAGAGCAUUUCAGGUUAUUAAUCUUCAGUGGCCAUUUAAAGUAGUUAUGGUCCAUGACUUCAUUGGGUGCCCAUUUUAUACGUUUCUUUCAAAUCCUUUUUGAGAGUUUUUUUGUGAAGUUUAAAAAAAAUUAAAAAUAAAAUAGAAAACGUGUGUUCUGUCCCUUCGCCUUGUGUUUAGAUAAUACAGAAGUUAAGUUUAAUUUCCAUGUUAUCCACCUACGCUUGGAUGGCGGUGAUGGGCUGCAUUCGAGUGCCAGGAGAGCCCCUAUAUUGUGUCUGCAGUUUGAAAACCCACGGCAUCCUUGCAUCCUAUGUACUACCAUAAACUGUAGUGGUUAUGGUGCUCAGAGUGACCUUUAAAGCUGUUUUUCCUGCCGAAGAUUGAAAUCCGCAAAAUGUUUUCAAGUUAGAGCAACCCAGAAGACAUCUGCCAACUCUCUGCUGCUAGCCUGACCCUGCUGAAACAUUGUGUCUGUGAGACAUGCUUCCGAAUUCUGCAUCACGGGGCAUGGUGACAUAGUGUCACGGUGACAAUUGUACAGGAAGUCAAGUGAGACCACUUCCCCACAGAGAACGCAGAAAGAAUUGGUGACUGUAUGAAUCAGUGUGUGCAGAGAUUAAAAUCCUGAGAGAUAUCAAAGUUAAUGGCUAGAUUUUUGUUUGUGUUUCUAAAUUGCAGAAUGUUUUCUACGCAUUCACAGGAUCUGAGGCUGCCAUAGACAUCCUGGCCCAUUAUAAUCAGUGUGGUGCCUCUAGGAUUAUUUUAAUAAAAUCAGUCUUAUUAAGCGGUUUUAGAGUGUCCCUAAAGUACUUACUGUCACCAGAAAUUUAUAGCUGAAACAGUUCGUUAACUCCGAACAGUGCAUUCCUAUCAGACAGGUAAACGCACAUUUACCAUAAUUCCCUUUCAGGACAGGAAAUGUAUUUACUGCCCUAGAGUCUUAUUAAAAACGUAUGUUUUGUUUGAAUGUUGUUGGUAUUACAUGCAAGUCUUCCUGCUCCUUUUUUUGGUCUCUUUGUUACGGUCACUGUGUGUAUUUGUGACAUUUUUAAAUAUUGCCUUUUCCGGGUAUUUUUGAAUUGGCAUAAAACAUUUUUCCACCUCAUUAACUAUUCCUUUUAAGUUAUUAGAUUGAAUAUUUAAAGUUACUAACGUAUAAUGUAGAAAAAUAAAUAAAACUAGGGUGAUUUGUUGGUUUACGUCUUCCUCGCUGCAAGUUACUGGAAAAUAUUUUUCAAAGAAUCUAAAAAUGAGGGGUUUUGUUUAGGAAGGGUAGUCGAAAACACGCCUCAAGUUUCAGAACCAUCUCUAAAUAAACAUGCAAUUUUUUUAUUUCAUGUAAUGAUCUCAUACCUACUACAGCUUGUUGUAGUGGUUAUAGUGCGAGGGGCCACUCCGUUAUUUACUAAAGUAAGAAUUCAAAGUGAAACUGAAGUGAAUUUUAAAUUUAAGGCCAAAGUAGUUGAAUUGGAAGGAAAGCCAAAUUAGAGAAUUGUUUCAGUUCACCUAUUUUACGGCAAAAUUCAAUUUGAAAUAACAUUUUAGAAAAUAACCAUGUUUGAGUGAAGUAAGUCUAUUUUUUUUUUUUUUUUUUUACCCAAAACUGUUUCAAUCAGGUUGACACAAAAAAACAUCAAGCAAGGGCUCGGAAACAUUGACAAAAUCCAGAAAACUAAACGCAAGGACAGUAGUGGUUAUGGUGACUCAAGUGUUCCUUUAAAAAUAGCUGGUAACUUGUAGCAGUUACAAAUUAUCAUGAGGUUUGCAAAAUUGUUAAGCGCGCGCAUGUUAUCAUCCUGCUGGUAAAGCACAGGAACACAGUCCCAUGCAUGCGCACUUCACUCUUUGUGGCAAGUAACAGGUAAGUCGAGCCUGACCAGUGUAACUUAGAAUGAGAUUUUUCUUUUGUUUCCGUACGAUGUAUUGUGAGUUAGCUGUUAUUAACCACUUUCCACCAACCAAGAGUCUUGUGUUACAUUUUUGGGGGCUAGCGGCCUUCAUUAGUUAGAAGUGCCAGGGCUGUAAACCAUUUGGAAAGUAGAUGCUAUGUCCACUAUGUGAGACGAUCAGCUAAGAUAAAGAGGUUUGGAAUUGACAGAGGUUGAGAGAUUGUUGUUGAAGUCAGGGUUUUCUCCACAAGGGAAUCAUAAAAAAAAUUUGGUGGAAAAAUGUAUCUUAAUCCCCCUUUAGAAUGUUUAAUAUUCUCUAGUAGAUUAACAUGUUUGUUUUUUUAUAGCUGUUUUUAGUGUUUAACAUUUUGUUUGCUUCCAUAACUUUCCUUUUUUUUAUUAUUUCCACGAGAUGUGUUUUGCGAAAGAUUAAUCGAACAUUCCUGCAAGUAUACAGCCUUGUUUGGCGUUCUUUGCUCUAGAAAUCCAGUAAUCCGCACACGUCAUUCUCUUAUCACCAGAGCAGAGGCUGCCUUUAACGUGCAUGGUUUCAAUAAUGCUUGACAGGAACUUCCAUUGUGUUCUCUGGAGACGGUGUUUAUGUUAUGCCAUAUUCUAUAUCUUUAUUUAAGUACCUGCAGGUUCUAUUCCUGCCCUGGAGUAUUCAAUACUUUAUUGCGCAGAUAGUUGAAAAACAAGAAAAGUUGGCCCCCAUAGUAACAAGUGGCCACAGACUAAUUAUUCUAGGGAGUGAGGCUGGAGGUGUGAAUGGGGGGCUUGAUUAUUCCCUUACAUUUUAGGUGACUUUAUGACCUACUCAUUGCCAUCGGUUUAUUGACCUCUACUUGUAGAGUUUUGAGAUUCAAUCUGAAAGUCAUGGCUCAGUUUCUUUCUUACUAAGUUUUUCACAAAUGGAGAACUUACAACACUUAGUCAUUUUUUGCUAAAUUCACAAAUUUGCCUCUGGCGUCUCUCCUCCAACACAAAAGCUAACACAAGAACCAAAAAAUAGCAUUAAUUAAUUAUUUUUUAUAACACAUUAUGAUUAUUCAAAGGGACAUUUCCUCAAAAUGAAAAGAGCUAGAGGGUGAGUUUGACAAGGUGAGGAGUGAGUGUGGUAGGGUGAGGGGGUAAGUGUAGUAGGGUGAAGGGUGUUAGUGUAGUAUGGUGAGGGGGUCAUUGCGGUAGGGUAAAAGAGGUAGGGGGUGGGGGUAAGUGUGGCAGGGUGACGGUGUGUUAGUGUAAGAGGGGAAGUGAAGCAGGGUAAGGGUUGUUAGUGUGGUAGAGUGAGGGGAUGAGUGUGGCAGGGUAAGAGGGUGAAUGUCACAAGGUGAAUGUGGCAGGACGAGAGGGCAUUGGACAGUGGACUGAGUGGUGAGUGUGAUAGUGAGGGGAAGGGAUUGUGACAGAGUGAGGUGAGUGUGAUAGUAAGGGGGUGUAAUUGUCACAGAGUGAGGUGAGUGUGAUAGUAAGGGGGUGUAAUUGUCACAGAGUGAGGUGAGUGUGAUAGUGAGGGGAAGGGAUUGUGACAGAGUGAGGUGAGUGUGAUAGUAAGGGGGUGUAAUUGUCACAGAGUGAGGUGAGUGUGAUAGUAAGGGGGUGUAAUUGUCACAGAGUGAGGUGAGUGUGAUAGUGAGGGGGAGAUAUUGUGACAGAGUGAGGUGAGUGUGAUAGUAAGGGGUAGAAAUUGUGACAGAGUGAGGUGAGUGUGAUAGUAAGGGGUAGAAAUUGUGACAGAGUGAGGUGAGUGUGAUAGUAAGGGGGAGAAAUUGUGAAAGGGAGAUAGGUGGUAAGGGUUACAAGUUGAGUCAAUGACUGUGGCUGGACAAAGUGUGACAAUGUAUGGGGCUUAGUGUGCAUGGGGGAGAGACAUUAUAUGGGGAGACUGUAUUAAAACACACAGUAAUUGCCUUUUUUAAUAUAACAUUUCCCCCUUCCUGCUUAAUUCUUGGGGAGGAAGGGGGGCACAGAUACAUUCCCUGGGCCGCAGGUCUUCCGAUUCCAGCACCCUCUGAGGAGCCCUGAAAUCGCAAGGAGCCACAGACCACCAGGGAGGGACUAUUUUGGUCUGCCUACCAGCAGGAGCAGAGCCCGCUCAGUCCUGGAGCUCCAUCCAGCUCUGAUGUGUCACCAUGCCUGCCAUACCCUCGGUGCUGUAGUGGGUCAUAAAGGGACUGAGUUUGGGUGGCCGAGAAAGUGGAGACAUAAAUGGAACGACAUGAUGUUCCCUCUUACUUUUGUAGUUGGUGAUCCCAGAAAUAGUUUGUUGUGAAAAUUAGUUUUAUGGUAGAAAGGUUUGUGCGUGCCGAAUGCCUGUGAAAAUGUAAACCUGAAAUAGUGUAAAGAUAAUUUUCUCUCGGCUAAUAAAACUGUAUUGCUGUGUUUUACUAUAGUACAAAUAUGAUGAUAUCGUUACGUAUUUAGUUAAUAUUAUUCUAAACUUUGAAGUUUUAAAUGCUUUGUUCAGUUGUUCUAUUAAAUAAAACAUCAAUGAGAAUAUUGAGAUACAGUAAUAAUAAUGAUACCCAUCAGAUGGUAUCAAAACACAGGUUUUUAGUUUUUUUAAUUAAUGUUGCUGUAAAUAAGUAGCUUUCGAUUUUUAUUAGCGUAUCCAAGUGACAUUCACCCAAUUUCUCUUGGUUUCAAAAUAUCAAAAGAUUUCACAUAAAACUGCACAGCAUAUCAACAAUACAUUAACAUACCUUUUUAAUCCAUGCCACAUUGCCUACGCAUGCCACAUUACCUACGUUUAAUUGUGCCCACAUGAUCAUCCAUGCCACAUUGCCCACAUUCAUUUCACUUCACAAGCACUACCUUGGCUAUGCACGCUGCGCUUACUCGGGCUGGCGCUGAUUAAUUUGCUCUGUGCUUCCCUACUUGUGACGUGCUGCUCUGUGAUUCUCAGACGCGCUGCCGCAAGGUAUAUUGACAUCUUGCUGGAAAGCAGGCACGAUUCACGGAGCUACGUAGUACACAUAAGGGAGCAGAGGCCAUGCUCCUGGCUCAUGUGAGGCCAACAGCCAGUGUGCGCACAUCAUUUUGUAAUGUUAAAUAGAAUUUUUAGUUUCCUUUGAUGAUAUAUACAAUUUACUGUGUUGUAACAUAUUGGUUCAUAAAAGGAUGUCUGUCAUGAGUUUUGGAGGAUUUCCACCAAUUUGUAGGUGGUGGGACAUUUCUUCAUUAACCUAACAAAAUCAGUCGCUUUACACCUGGACCCCUCACUUAUUAUUUGUCUUGCUAAUUACGGUUGAAUUACCUAAUGCCUAUUAAUAGCGUGAUUUCUUCUUUGAUGAUACCACUGGUAUCUUCAAAUGGGAAAUCACGCUUUUAGUAGGCAUUAUGUAUAUGCCUAAUAAAUGGAAUCAUACCGGUACAAUGUUAACGGGCGACUAGAUAGCCUCGCUCCUCCAUUCCUACCCACCUCGUCUCCUGAUGUGUGGGUCACAGAUGGUUGCGUUGUGUAAUUUUAAAAUUCCACCUUAUGCCUAAAGUAAUUUGUAUCAAUGAUCAGUAUCACACACAUCACGGAGACAAGAUACGUAGGGAAGGAGGAACAAAUCUAUCUUGGCCCCCGUUAAGGAACCGAGGCCACGGGUUAGGGAGCACAACACUUGUCUUGCCCUGGGAGCUGGCAACUCGCUCUAUGUCUUGACUCACCAAUAAUAUGGAGCUCAUAGAAAAGAGAGACAUUAGGAUAGAAAAGAGAGACAGAGGGAUCUGAGCCCAAAAUAGGGACUGUCCCUCUUUAAUAGGGACACUGGGGAGGUUUGGACAUUCUUCUAUAAAACUCUCACCUCCCUUUAUUAUUGUAGGAUCACCACUCAUUCUGUUUUCUAUACUCACUUGCUCUCACUGACCAGCUUUAUUGUGUCUUUAUUAAAUAUUUUACACCAAUGAACCACAAAGCUCCUCGACAGAGCUCUUAAUUAGAUCAUUUCCAAUGACUUCAUACACAGCUUCCAGUGGGACCUUUCAUGUUCCUUCUUUAUUUAUUUAUUUAACCAUUCUUGUGGCGAACGUGACUUUGCCACGGGCUCCUGGAGGGCCUGCUUGGCAGCCUCCUGCCCACAGACUAUGGGCCCUGCAGGGAAACCUGUAAAAGACAGUUUAAAAGGCUUGGUUCAUGUAAAUUCCCUAUGCUGUUCGGGAACCGAACAACCGCACGAACAGAGACCAACUGUGUGCUUGUUAGGCCCAAUUGACACCUGUUAAUGAUUUCCACUGCAGUGUUCUAAUUGUUCGUCUGGGUGGCCGCAGUUUGUAUGAACGAGCACGAGGUGGCGGCCAUCUUGUUCACGCGAACUUUGGGCGUCGUGCUCAUGGAGCUAAAAUCUGACACAAACUCCCGAACACCGCUGGACUUCCAUCAUUGCCUCUGUUUGUUUCUAUACAACCUGGAGGGGCACUGUUCGGUGUAUUCGUUCGCAUGGAUGAGGUGAACAAGCUACACAUUCUAAUUAUGGAUUAUGCUCGGGAUUUUAUUCUUUUUCAUGUUACUGAAGUUGACCGACCGCUAGCACUGAUUUCAUGGAACUAUUUUGGGCAUAAACUACAUGUGCGGUCGGUCAAAAACAGGACUUUUAUGAAAAACCUGAACCCCUGAUCUGAUCUGGGUGAUUUUUGGAUAUGUUGGUCACCAAGAUCAGGGGAUGUGACUUUUGUGGGGUUUUCGUGUAAUUUAUGUGUAUAUUGGGGUGUUUUAUAAAGUGUUAUAUUCUCUGUCCCUGAGAAAUAAUUAAAUUAUAAGUGUUUGCUCAGGAAAUUAUCUCUCAGGCACAGAUGAUCGUGGGAGGGAUUUCCCUGUAAUGUUGAAUUGGAAACCGCUUAUAGGGGCUUUUGCAUAAAAGGCCAUGUGUGGCUCUAAUAAAACCGAUUACUUCCCAGCAUUAAGCCUCGGCUCAUGUGUGGGGGGAACAGCUAUACUUGCCCUUUUACUGCAAUAACCAGGAGAGGUCUUCCCAGUGGGAGCUGGAUCCAGGUGUUGGCACAGGGUGGGAAGGGACAGCGAGACCCCAGCCAAGCUGCGGCAGCUAAGGGGGGCUACAGUGCUUAAGAUGUCCGGUGCAGUGCUUAUGGUACUUGGCAACUACUAGGAAGAGCGAUUGGCGGAGGUACCCAGUCGGAGUACCAGGCGGUCCACCGCAAUUCUUAUAUAGCUUCCCUGUCAAGAGCACUUUAAAUAGAUUAACAAAUGAUACGGGUAACAAUACAAUUUCUAUCCAGUCACUGAGUUGCAGUCUAGUUAGGUAUAAUGCUUAGAGGAUACAUCGUGUUAGCCUAAAGAACAAUUACAGUAAAUUAUUGAAUUCGUAAACACAGGCGGCUACGUAGAACAAAUUAUAGAACAAUGAUUCCACUGAGCUACGGUAUGUAUUGUCCUCAGUAAAACUGAUCGGGUUAUGGUUAGGGAAGGUAAGGACCAGGAUGAAAGAUGCACAGGUAGAGAGAGGAGUGUUGGGAAGGGAUUAGCUUAGGUGAACAGAGGAAUGAAUUAUUUCGUAUCUGAGAAUGUUUUGGUAAAGAUAUAUGUUUUCAGGAGUUUUUGUGGAGAAAUAGGUGGCUGACUGGCUGUGAGGGGGGAGCUUGUUCCAUUAUAAGAGGGCUAUAAGUGAGAAUUGAAAAGUACCACGUGGGUAUUGAUGGUGAUUUUAAGGAAUGUGGUAGAUUCUGAAGACCCACCACUGCGGUUCCACAAUGGGAUUGUCACUCCAAGCGUGACCUAAUCCAUAUAUUUUUUACAGUGUCUCUGACUAUUUUUUAUAUAGAAUAUAUGUGUGAUUAUUUAUAGGCACUAUAUGUAUAUCUAGUUUGGCGAGCCCCUUCCUCCUCCACUGUAAGUGUAUUUAUAGAACAGGUUGUGACAUCAGCAAUGUAAUGGGCUUUGUAACUUCCUAGAAUAGAUUGUAAGCAAAUAAAUACAUUUUAAUUAAAAUAGAUAUAUUUUAUUUUUAUUUGAAUUUCCAUAUUCCCUUUAAAUCUACAUGUACAAUCUUUGUACUAAUAAAAUAUUUUGGAUACAGAUCAUGUAAAUGCUGAACGGAAGAAGAAUUACUUUGUAAACUUUGUAAACACAUUGUAAGGAUUGACCUGAUUCCUGAUCAAUAUGUUUGGACAGUUACGUUACAGCCUAAGGAAAAUAUAUCUAUUGAUUACAAUUGCAUCAAAUAAAAUUGAUAUUUAUGCAUGAAUCCAGUUAUCAGUACAGAGAGGCGAAUGUUGGGAUUAUGAACAGAAUAUAGUUACAUAGUUACAUAGUUACAUAGCUGAAAAGAGACUUGCGUCCAUCAAGUUCAGCCUUCCUCACAUUUGUUUUUUGCUGUUGAUCCAAAAGAAGGCAAAAAAAAAACAGUUUGAAGCACAAUUUUGCAACAAGCUAGGAAAAAAAUUCCUUCUUGACCCCAGAAUGGCAGUCAGAUUUAUCCUUGGAUCAAGCAGUUGUUACCCUACAUUGAAAGAUUAUAUCCUUGAAUAUUCUGUUUUUGCAAGUAUGCAUCUAGUAGCUGUUUGAACAUCUGUAUGGACUCUGAUAAAACCACUUCUUCAGGCAGAGAAUUCCACAUCCUGAUUGUUCUUACAGUAAAAAAACCUUUCCUUUGCCUUAGACGAAAUCUUCUUUCUUCCAGUCUAAGCGCAUGGCCUCGUGUCCUAUGUAAAGUCCGGUUUGUGAAUAGAUUUCCACACAAUGGUUUGUAUUGGCCCGAAUAUAUUUGUAUAAUGUUAUCAUAUCCCCUCUCAGGCGACGUUUUUCUAAACUAAAUAGGUUUAAAUUUGUUAACCUUUCUUCAUAGCCGAUAUGUUCCAUUCCUUUUAUUAAUUUUGUAGCCUUCCUCUGCACUUUUUCUAGUGCCGUAAUAUCCUUCUUUAGAACAGGUGCCCAAAAUUGCACAGCAUAUUCAAUAUGGGGUCUUACCAGUGAUUUAUAAAGAGGCAAAAUUAUAUUCUUGUCCCGAGAAUGAAUGCCCUUUUUCAUGCAUGACAAUACCUUACUGGCCUUGGCCACUGCUGAUGACAUUGCACAUUGUUGCAUAGUUUGUUGUCUAUAACAAUUCCCAAGUCCUUUUCAUGUGUUGUUAUCCCUAAUUCGCUUCCAUUAAGGGUAUACGUUGCUUGUGUAUUCUUUACUGAAGUGCAUAACUUUGCAUUUUUCAACAUUAAAUUUCAUCUGCCAUUUGAGUGCCCAGUCCCCCAGUCUAUCUAAAUCCCUCUGCAGCAAAGUAAUAUCUUGCUCACAUUGUAUUGUUUUACAAAGUUUGGUGUCAUCUGCAAACACUGAAACAUGACUUUCAAUGCGGUCUUCAAGAUCAUUUAUAAACAUGUUAAAUAGAAGGGGUCCCAGAACAGACCCCUGAGGGACACCACUUGCCACCUCUGUCCAGCUUGAAAAUUUACCAUUAAUGACAACUCUUUGUACUCUGUUUUUAAGCCAAUGUUCUACCCAAGAACAAGCAUUUUCAUCUAGACCGAUUUCCUUGAGUUUGAACACUAAUCUAUUGUGUGGAACUGUAUCAAAUGCCUUGGCAAAAUCCAAAAAGAUCACAUCCACGGCAACACCCUGAUCUAUACUUCUACUUACUUCUUCGUAGAACGCAAUCAAGUUAGUUUGACAUGACCUGUGCUUCAUAAAACCAUGCUGAUUUUUGCUGAUAACCAUGUUCUUCUCAAGGAAUUCUUGAAUAUUAUCCCUUAAUAAACUUUCAAAUAUUUUACCAGCCACAGAAGUUAAGCUCACAGGUCUAUAAUUUCCAGGCAAGGAUUUUGAACCCUUUUUGAAUAUAGGAACCACAUCUGCCUUCCUCCAAUCCUCCGGAACACUUCCUGAAAGAAAAGAAUCUUGAAAGAUUAAAAACAGAGGUUCACUUAUUUCUGCACUUAGUUCCUUAAGUACACGUGGAUGGAUACCGUCAGGCCCUGGAGCUUUGUUUAUAUUAACUUUCUUUAGUUGCUGCAGCACCUUGUCUUGAGUUAACCAAUUACAAUUAUUCUGCAAGUUUUUAGUAGCAAUCAUUUGCACAUCUAUUGCCAUGGGUUCUUCCUUAAUAUAUACGGAGGAGAAAAAGUUAUUUAAAAUUCCUGCCUUUUCCUGGUCUUCAUUAAUUAACACCCCUGUUUCAGUUUUUAGUGUACCUACACUUUCAUUUUGUUUUUUUUUAGAAUUUAUGUACUUAAAAAAUGCUUUGGGGUUGGUUUUGCUCUCUUCAGCUAUCAUUAUUUCAUUUUGAAGUUUAGCAAGUCUAGCAAGUCUAGUGAAAUAUAUUGAAAGAGCUAGUAAUAUGUGUAAAUAUAAUAAUUUGAGUAAUAUAAAAGAUGGGCCUUAUUACUUAGCACAGAAGUUAGUUACCGACAUGAAAAUCUACACACACGUACAAUUAGAAGGGAGCUCCUCCUGCCAAUUCUAAUGGCUGAAUUUAUGUCCCAGAAUGGGAAGACCCACUCUUGUGGAAUAAGGGCUUGCACAAACAUAUUCUGAAUAACCAAAGGUAAACAUAUAGCCCCGGGAGAUUCUAGCUAAGUUACCAUUAGGAAACAUCAGCUCUCUAGCGCCAUCUAAGGACUUGUGUGCACUUAUUAUUUAUGACGUGGGUCCCACAUGAAUACCUUUUCCUAUAGCUAGUAGGGGCUAAUUUCACUAAUCCGAAAUAUGAAUGUAUCUUUCAGAUGCUGAAGAAGCUCUUAAUUUGAUCAUGAAAGAUCUGGCUGCGUUGGGCAGAUGUGGCGGUUUGCUGGACACCAGUCGUAAGAAGAAUAACAAACAGGUAAUUAACUUUAUUAUUU
rnacentral:lncRNA from 1 species